rnacentral:lncRNA from 1 species
AGACUUAUACUUGUAAACCGGAGGUGGUGGGGGUGGAGACUUGUACUUGUAAGGGUGCUUGGGUGGGGAUAGAGGUGGUGGUGGGGGAGACUUGUACUUGUAGGGAUGCUUGGGUGGUGAUGGUGGUGGUGGUGGUGGAGACUUGUACUUGUAAGGAUGCUUUGGAGGUGAUGGUGGUGGUGGUGGAGACUUGUACUUAUAAGGAUGCUUUGGGGGUGAUGGUGGUGGAGGUGGGGACUUGUACUUGUAAGGGUGCUUGGGUGGUGAUGGUGGUGGAGGUGGUGGGGACUUGUACUUGUAAGGGUGCUUGGGUGGUGAUGGCGGUGGAGGUGGUGGAGACUUAUACUUGUAAACUGGAGAUGGUGGGGGUGGAGACUUGUACUUGUAAGGGUGCUUGGGUGGUGAUGGUGGGGGUGGGGGUGGGGGUGGGGACUUGUACUUGUAGGGGUGUUUGGGUGGUGAUGGUGGUGGUGGUGGUGGGGACUUGUACUUGUAAGGAUGCUUGGGUGGUGAUGGUGUUGGAGGUGGAGGAGACUUGUACUUGUAAGGAUGCUUGGGUGGUGAUGGAGGAGGUGGUGGGGACUUAUACUUGUAAACAGGAGUUGGUGGGGGAGGAGAUUUGUACUUGUAAGGCUUCUUGUGUGGUGGUGGUGGUGGUGGAGAGUAGACCGGAGGAGGCGGUGGUGGAGACUUGUAAUGGUAAGGUGGUGGUGGGUACUUCUUAGGAGGUGGUGGAGGAGAAGAAUAAGUGUAAUCUGCUGAGGUUUCAAAAGGCAAAUUGAGAGACACUGCUAAAACUAAAAGAGUGAGAAAGAGAGAGGUCAUUGAUGACCCCAUUUUCCCCAUACUUCUAAAAAUGGGUUUAAUUUGGUUAUGCUCUUAGCAACCCUCUUCACUCCCUUUAUAUAGACUUUUUUUUUAACCUUAUAAUCAUGAUAAAAGUUUGAAGAUGGACCGAACCUUCAGCAGCAUGUAAAAAAGACAUUACGUUUAGGUUAUUAGCAUGGUAUGAUAUAAUAAUUCUCUAUUCUCUUCCUUGUCGUUUCCCAUAAAUUCAAUUUUCUCUAUUAAAUAUUUAUCAAAUUCAUUUCUCACUCCCUAUUAAUUCUUUAAUAAGUUUAUAGAAUAUGAAUAAUUAAUCAUUAAACUCGAUUUAAUAAAUACUUUAAACAAUUAAUAAUUUAUCUUAUUUUAUGCUUUAAUUAAGGCAUCAAAUCAUAAUCCUAUUUUAUAUUUUGAAAAUUUAUCAUUUUUUAAAGAACUUAAUUGAUUAAAAUGUGAUUCUAAUAUUUGGCAGGAAAAAUUAGUUUACUUUCCUUAGAAUGUAAUAUUCUUUUGAGAGUUAUUUUCUUACUAAUAAUAGAAAGUGAUAAUUCGUGAGAAAAUUACUUUCACAUGUAAAUAAAAAUUAUUAGAACAAAAAAUUAACUUUCUUUUAUUUAUGUUUAGGUACUAAUUAACUUAUUGAGAUAAAGAUAGUUGUAGCUUGCUUUUUCAUGUCAUUUUCUUAUCUUUACAACUUCAAACCAUUAUUCUAGAGUAAGUUUUUUUUUUUUUUUCUAAAUAGUAGAUAAAUAUCUAUAUUUUAUUUUGCUAUAAGAAAAUUAUAUUUUUUAGCAUACAAAACUUAAAGACAACUUGUAGAAUCAAGUAAUUCUAUGAAAAGCAAGCCUAUUCACAUAUAAUACCUAUUACUCUAGCAAUAAUAAUAUUGACAUUGUCUAAAUUUUCUAAUAAAAAAAUUAUAUAAUUUGUAUGUGUUAAAAAUGAAAAAUAUGGCGGUUAUUAAAAAAGAUUUCAUACAUCUAAAUGAAACUACUAAUUUAAAAAUUAGUAUUGAGAUAAUUUCAAGUUAAUAUUGAAUAUACUUGAAUUUGUACAUACAAAGUAAUGAGGGUAAAAAUUUUGUAAAUUGUACAUCUUCACAAUCUUGAGUUAAUAUACAAUUUUUUAAUGUAUUAAUAUAAUGUUUUAGAUCAAGAUGUGAAAAAACAUAACUCAAAUAUUUGUUAAUAAUAAAAAAUUAUUAAUAAAUAUUUAAUUCAAAAUUUAUUAAUAAUAAAAAUUAUUGAAAAAUAUUAAAUACGUUAAUAUUAUUUUUAUAUAAUAAUGAUAAUUUUGUACAGUAAUCUUAUAUUCUCAAUAAGUGUUAAAUGUCUCAAGAUUUUAAUUAAUACUUUUCAGUGGUUACCAAACAUUGUGAAAUAACUUCUUGAACAAUGAUAUUCUUAUCAAUCACAUUCCAUUAGAAAUUUAACAUAGGAAAGCACCAAAACAACCGCUUAAAAAUGAAUGUGCAUGAUUAAAAUCGCGAUAAGUCUUGUUUAUCUAAAAUUUAAAUAUUCAUUUUAUUAUUUAAAAUAUAUUAAUUUUCCAAAAACAAUCAUUAAUAUUUAUAUUUCUAAUUUUAAACAUUCUUUUGUUAAUUAAAUGAUAGUGUAAACGGUUAAACUCAAAUCGAAAGCAUUUUAUCUUAUAGUAGAUUAUAUGACUCAUAUUAUGGUUGAAAGUAAAAUGUAUAAAAUCAAUACAAACAUCAAAUAUUAAACUUGCACUCAAUAGAUUUUAAAAUUUCUAAUUUUACCACUAAUCUAUUUUAAGAUUUUUAAAAAAUCGUACUUUAGAUUAUCUAAUUUAAAUUUUAAAAUUAUUAAAAAUAAAAAAAUUCUUAAUAAAAAAAUUUGUUUCAAAUUUUUAACCUUUUAAUAUAAUUGUUUUAACUGGUUAUCUAAACUAAAUAAAAACUUAUUUAGUAUAAAAAAAAGUGGUAAAUGUGAAAGGAGCACAAAUCACAACUACAAUAUGCUACAUUAGUUUUAUAAUUGGAUUAAUUUAAUCACCGGCAGAGGAAAUGUGUUAGUUCUAGCUACCACCAAUUUAUUUUAAUUCCUUUAAAAAUAUUAGAAAAAAUCAAUUUGAUUUUUAAUAAUAGAUCUAAUUACUUAAAGGAACAUCGGUGAUGUCCACAUGGCAUACAAGGUUAAGCAUAUAAAAAAAGAACAAAAAGAUUAAGUAUCUUUGCAAGAUAGCUUUCUGAAAUAAAUAAAACUUAAAUAAAAACAAUUUUAUUAUCAAAAUAAAAAGAAAAAAGAAAAGAAAUACUAGUGUUUUUAAUUAAAAUAGAGUGAUCUGGGUAGAAUCUUUUACUUAAAUACUGACAUUGACUUUAUAAGCUAUUUUUUAUCAAAAGAAGAAAGAGAAAAGCAUCCGAUUGAAGAUGUGAAUUAUUAAAUUAAAAUUAAUCAUACAUGUAAAAUUUUAUUGUGCUUUUUUCUAGCCCUCCGAAUGACAUUAUGCUUUGAUUACAACAUUCUUGCUCAGAGAUCGGGUUUGAAGAUGAACUCGGAUGCAUUUAGAUUUUUACAAGUAAAUUAAAGGAUGUUAGAACUUGUAUUCCGAUAAACUUAUAAUACAGAAAGCAAGUAAUAUGUGACUGUACAUAAUGGCUAUGAGGCGAGGAUAUGAUAUGAGAAGAUAGAGAUGAGAGAUUGCACUUAAGGGGUUAACACCACUUUCCUUUUUGUGUUUGGUCCCCAAAGCAUCUCUUAUUGGCUGAUGUUGCAAGGCCGUCCCAUAAGUUGGUCUAAAAGUGCUUGAUAGCUAGAAUUAAUAUUGUGGUAUAACAUAUGUCACCACUAGGUUUGAAUAAGGUUACACAGUGAUUUGAUGAAGAUUUAAAAAAGCAUAGAGAUAAUUAUGUUGCAAAUAUUGUAAAAGUAAGAGCUAAAUUGUUUGGCUUUAUUAGAGUUUAGACUCUGUUAGUCUAUUACCAUUCUCUAUUAGUCUGUUACCAUUUUGUUAUAUAGGCUGUAAUAUUGUUAGAAAGCAGUUAGCAGCUGUUAGUCAUAGUAGUUAGUCAUACAAAUAUAAAUUCUAUUCAUGUAUUGUUCAAAGGUAAGCUAAUAAUAUCAGAAGCGAUUUAAUGUAUUCAUUCUACUUUUUUUUUAUUCUUCAUAAUACAGUUGUUAACAUGGUAUCAGUACCCUAAUUUCUUAGAGGUCGCUUCUAUUGUAGAUCCAUGGCCAAUUCCACUGAUUCUACCUCCACUGGUCGUAGCAGUCCCUCGUUCUCGAUUCAUGUUUGGUUCAAUCGUUUCCUCGUCGUCACACUGAGAAGUUAGAUGAAAGAAAUGUUAUGCAAUGCCAACAGCAUAUCCUAUUGAUAAUUGAAGGGUAUGAACUCAUAAGAUUUUUAGAAGGGACGUUACCUACUCCGCCUCGCUUUGUGUCAUCUCCCGAUGGAACCUUGGCUUCGGCUCCCGAUGCAUUCCUGUUUGUUCAGCAAGAUAAGUUACUCGCUCUUUGGUUGCUUUCUACGAUUAGUGCUCCUUUGUUGUCCUCUUUUAUAGCUGCUAAGACACCGUGUGAGGUUUGGAGCACUGUGAAUCACCUCUUUACUGUUUCCACCAGAGCGAAGUUAUCGCGUAUUAAGCAUGAACUCCACUCCAUCAAGAAAGGCAUGAUGACUGUCAAAGAGUAUAUUAUUAAGAUUCAAAAUACCUGCACCUUACUCGAGGCAUCUGGAUUGGUGGUUUCGAAGGCCGAGAAGGUAGAGAUCAUUCUUGCUGGCCUAUCGUCAGAUUAUGAUGUCGUUUUAACACUACCAUAGUUCUCUUCUGAAACUCUUCCGUUACAGAAGAUAGUUGUUGUGCUACUGAAGUUCGAAAGCCGUCAGACUCAUGUCGUGAAUGACAUACCUUUUCAUGCUCAUCUGGUAGAGGCCACUUCGGCGACAUCGGUGGAGGACUCCGUACAUGGUAGCCAUCCUCCUCCUGGUGCUCGUGGGCAUGACUUUCGACUCGGCUUCAGUUCCAGAUCUAUGGUUGCUAUGGACAUCUGGCACAACGCUGUUAUUAUCAUUUCAACCGCGAAUACAGUGGUCUAUCUGCUCUGACCAUGGCGCAGGCUUCGCUUUUGUGCUGGGCACUAUUCGUGUGACAAUGUUUUUGGUGCAACUGGUCUCUUGACCGGCUGGUUUCCAUCAGCUCAUCCUAGUUCAAACCCCUUCGAUGUGCCUGGACAGUGUGCCGAUUCUUCGGUGACGGUACCGGCGCAUUUCCCUUAUGGCUCCUCUUGGGGAGGAUGGCCACAUUUGUAAAACAAUGCCUCCCUUGUGCCAAGUCUACCGAAUGUUAGGGUUUCUAACCUUUUUGCUCCUAAUUUUAACAAUGAGGCAAGCUAAGUGUUUGGGCCCGCUGUUGAACCAGGCUCAAAUAGUGACCAAUCUGGUGGUCCUCACUUGCCGCUGAAGAUGGGCUAACGCAUUGGGCCAUUCGCUGGUGUUCCUAGGCCAACUGCUUCAGGCCAAGAUUUUGGCCUAAAUGGAAUUGGUAGGCCAGCCAGUGCUCGUCCUAGCAUUGGAUAGGGUUCACUUGGGUCAAAUGUCAAUUUUAUUGGACUUGAGGGUUCUUUUGGGUAUAGACAAGAGUUUGGGCCCACCACUGGCAAUGUUUCAGUGCCAAUUAAUAGAUCAUGUGUUCCAUGGCACACAAAAUCGAGGGCACGCGUUAUUGAUUUUGAUUCUUCGCUGUGCGUUGGGUUGCAUCGCUUUACUAAUUUUCACGCAUCCGAUUUUUUUACUACCACUGGGUCUAAUGCCAAUACAACUCCAUAUAGGUCUAAUUUUGAUAAUGGUAAUUCUUACAUUCCUAUGCCUAUAGGGACCUCAUCAUGGUGUCUUGAUUUAGGGGCUACGCAUCAUGUCUGUUGAGAAGUCUCUGCCUUGAAUAAGUCUACGCCAUACUCAAGUACAUCUCCUUUCUUCACGGAUGAUGGUAUUCCUACAAAAAUAUCGUAUGUUCGGAAUCUUAUCUUGUCUAUGAAAACCAAAUUGCUUCAUUUGUCUAAUGUUUUGUGUGUGCCAAAUAUACGGAAGAAUUUGCUAUUUGUUUCUCAGUUUGCUAAUGACAAUAACGUGUUCUUUAAAUAUCACCUGUCUUAUUGUGUUAUUAAAGACAUCCAGACUCAUGAAAUUUUACUACGGGGCUACACUCGUGAUGGGCUCUAUUAUUUUUCGUCGGUUACUCUUGCUCUGUUUGUCGUUGUUCCUUUUUUCAUAGCACUGGGAUCUAGAGUCGCAAUGCAUAUGAUGAUUGUUUUGCAUUAUGGCAUCACAGGCAUAGUCAUUUGUCUGCCUCGAUUGUUAAACUUGUUCUCGAUAAGUGUCAAGUUGUUUCAAAAUAAAAUGUGCCUUGAAAAUAUUUGUAUUGCAUGUCAAAACGGGAAGUCUCACAAACUGCCUUUUUCAAGUUCUACUACUGAAUAUACAAAUUUGUUUGAUUUGGUUGUCUCUAACUUAUGGGGACCAACGUCUGUUGUCUGUAGAAAUAAUUUAUAUUAUGUUUUGUUUAUCGAGAUGUGUAGUUGAUAAACCGUAAUUUAUACAUAUUUUUAUCCUAUGUUUGGCACAUUUAUAGAUGAUUUAUCCUUAGAUUUGGUGAAUUCGAUGCUCCUAAUCCUUUAAUUUCAUAUUUUAUACUUAGGAGAGCAUAGGAGGGCAAAAAGAGCGAGAAACGGGCCGAAAACGGAAAAAAUAGACCCACAUGGGAAAUCAACAUGGCCUGGACUUCCUCACACUGGUAAGCCACACGGCCGUGUCCAUUUGGCAGGAUCGAAGCAAGACUUACACGAGUAGACUACACGCCCGUGCCUUUUUAAUAGCCUUGACCACUGUCUGGAGCAAUCGCGCACGGGCAUGUCCCUGUCGAGCCCAAGUAUAGUCUUAUUCGGAAAAGGUCUAUUUUAAGGGCUCUUAGGCAUUCUAAAGCUUAUUUAAUCACCUGAGAAGGCACUUAAAAGGGGGGACACGGAGUAGGAAGCAAGGAAUUACUCGAAGAAAGCCGAUUGAUCCAUCUCAGAAGCCUGAUUAUUCAUCAAGACUGAAAAUCUCCCUUCAAUUACCAUUCAGGAGUUUUGGGUUUUCUUUAUGUUUUGUAUUCAUUAUUCUUCUGAGAUGUUUUCUUUUAUAAUUAUGAUUUAAACCCUCUAAAUACCUAAGGGGAAUGAAACCUAAACGGAUCUUGUUAUUAUUAUCUGAAUUAUAUGAUAAAUAUUUGACUUGUUUUUAAUUAUAUGUUCUUAAUUCUUGUCUUAAUAUUCCAGGAUAUUGAUUCAAGUUAAUGCGCUUAUUCAGAGGAGCAAAAGUCCCUGUCUAAGAGUAAAUUUGUCAUAAUUAAACAGAGUUGAUUGCACACCUAAAGAUAGGGUAACAAGAUUUUGCCGAAUUAGGGUGAAACCUAAUAAGGAGAUCCAUAGAUCGAGUUAAUGCAACACUAGGGCGUUAAAUAGAAAGAGAUUUCAAUUAAUCAACCUAGGGUUAGAUGUUAUUAGUCUUGAGAGAGAUAAUAAUAUAACUUAGGGAUUUGUACGGAUCAUGUCAAAUGGAUAAAUCGACUGAUUCAGAGUCAAAUAACAAGUGAAGUCUAGGUGGAUUUUUCCUUGGGUAUUGUCCUAAUCAAGCGAAUUUUCUAAAAGUAUUUUCCCCAAUUUUUCAAGCGAAUUUUCUAAAAGUAUUUUCCCCAAUUUUCUUUCUCUGCACCCUUAGUUUAGUUAAUUAGUUUUAAUAAACAAAUCCUUUAAUUUUUAGGUUAGAUAAUAAAAAGAAAGUGAUUACUAGUACUCUUGGUUCCUUUGGGUUCGACAAUUCGGUCUUGCUAAAGCUAUAUUACUGUUCGAUAGGUACACUUGUCUUUAUCGUGAUAAUAGUUGGUUUCAAUAACGAUCAUUUCUAAAUUAUUUAAAACUUAUCGCAAGUAUCAUGAAUCAAGUUUUUGGCGCCGUUUCCGGGGAACUAAGAUAUUAGGAACACUUGAUUUUUAUUACUUUAGCCAUUUUUCUUUAUUUUUACUUUAAAUUUUUAUUUUCUUUUCUAAUUUUUCUUUUAUUUGUUCCUGACAGGUUUUUAUAGUUUAUGAUUAGAAGAAACCCGUCGGGACCAUUACUGUUUGAUAGUGAGAUCGAUCGCACAGUUCACAGAAACCAAAGAAAAAUAAGACGAAGCUUAAGAUACAAAAAGGAAGAGUAAGACGACGAUACUUCAACCACAAUCGAGAAGAUGGCUGAAAACCAGGAAAAUUUGCUACCUCCUGUGAUUUCUGCUGAUCCAGUAAAUCAGAAUCCUACUCCACGCACUAAGUAUGAUUAUGCUAAACCUACUUUAACAGGAACUGAGUCAAGUAUAGUUAGGCCUGCUAUUGCUGCGAAUAAUUUUGAACUGAAACCUAACACAAUUGAAAUGAUACAGCAAUUUGUUCAGUUUGAUGGUUUGCAGGAUGAGGAUCCAAACAACCACUUGGAAAAUUUUCUAGAGUUUUGCGAUACAUUUAAAAUCAAUGGCGUUUCUACUGAUGCCAUUCGCCUUCAGUUAUUCCCUUUUUCAUUGAGGAACAAAGCUAAACAGUGGUUGAACUCGUUACCACAAGGGUCAAUCACUGCUUGGGAACAAAUGACCGAAAAAUUUUUAUUAAAAUAUUUUUCGUCGACUAAAACAGCCAAAUUACGUAAUGAUAUCUCUUCAUUUAUGCAAAUGAAUAUAGAAACACUCUAUGAUGCAUGGGAGAGAUACAAGGACCUUUUAAGAAGAUGUCCUCACCAUGGGUUACCACUCUGGCUACAGGUUCAAACGUUUCACAAUGGCCUGAAUCCUUCGACUAGACAGAUGAUUGACGCAGCUGUUGGAGGAACUAUCAAUAAUAAGACACCUGAGGAUGCUUAUGAAUUUAUAGAAGAGAUGUCACUAAAUAAUUAUCAAUAGCAAGUCAUGAGGACAAAACCGAUGAAAGCAACCGGGGUUUUUAAUGUUGAUUCGGUCACCAUACUUUCUAAUCAGGUAGAACUUUUGAAUAGAAAAAUUAACAGUUUUUUUGGUUCUUCACAGGUUCACCCAGUAAUGCAAUGCAAUGCAAGUGGGGGAGAAUUGAGCAAUUCAGAAUGCCCACCCUAUGGCCACAACAUGAAAAACAAGCAAUUAAAUUAUAUGGAUAAUAAUCCUCGACCUCAAAAUAAUCCUUAUAGUAACACUUACAAUACAGGAUGGAGGAACCACCCAAAUUUCUCAUGGGGAGGCCAAGGGAAUCAGAGACCACCACCAUUUCCAGGUUUCUAACAGCAACCUUACCAGCAAAAUAAAAAUUUGAACCUUGAGGAAAUGCUAACAAAAUUCAUCUUGGUGUCAGAAACUCGUUUCCAGAAUACCGAGACAGCACUUAAAAAUCAACAAGCGUCGAUCCAAGGGCUCGAAACUCAGAUAGGCCAGCUCGCUAAAUUGAUAUCUGAAUGAACACAAGGUAGCCUACUGAGUAACACUGAAUCUAACCCAAGGGAGCAACUCAAUGCGAUUGCCAUUCAAGAUGAGGAAGGGUUAGUUACAUCUAAACCAGAACCGAGGCAAGAAACUGUGGUAAGUAAAGGUAAAGGUAAGGUAAACCACAUCGAGCAGAAACCGGUAAGUAAAGAGUACAAACCACGAGUGUCAUACCCAAAUGCGACAAAGAAAGACCAUACAGAUGAACAAUUUUGUAAACUCCUUAAACUAUUAAAGAAAUUACACAUUAACUUACCGUUUAUUGAAGCCCUUUCGUAGAUGCCGAACGCAGUCAAGUUUUUAAAGGAGCUUUUAGGAAACAAGUGAAAGUUGGAUGAAGCGUCGCAUGUGGAGUUGAACGUAGCUUGCUCAGCUAUUCUACAAAAUAAGCUACCCAACAAAUUAAAAGAUCCAGAGAGUUUUACAAUUCCUUGCUUAAUUGGUAGCUUAGAUGUUAAUAAUACUUUGGCUGAUUUAGGGGCUAGCAUCAAUGUCAUGCCUUACAAAAUGUUUAAGUAACUAGGUCUUGAGAAACCCAAACAAACUAAGAUGAGUAUUCAAUUAACCGAUGAAACAAUUAGAUUUCCUAGGGUUAUUAUUGAAGAUGUACUCAUUAAAAUUGACAAAUUUAUAUUCCCAGUUGAUUUCGUUGUUCUAGACAUAGAGGAGGAUAGUAACGUUCCUUUAAUUUUAGGGAGCCCUUUUUAGCAACUGUUAGAACAAUAAUUGAUGUUGGCACAGGUGAACUCACACUUCGUGUGGGAGACGAAACAAUCACCCUUUAAGCUCGUAAUUCAAGUAACACAUCAAAAAUUGAAGGUGGUUGUAUAAAUCAUACUAUUAAAACUGAUCAUUUGGUGAAACCUUCCUGGCAGGAAACACGUUCAAAGAACACACCUGAGCCAUGUUCGAGUAACGACAAAAGACCUAUCUAUGAAGAAUGAAGGCUACAACUUGAGGAACUAGAUGAAUAGCUGACACAUAAACCGAGGACACACGAUAAACCAAAACCAUGCCAUGACGAGCUCAAUAUUUCACCAAAUCAACUUAAGGUUGGAGACAAAGUACUACUAGAUGCGGUAGACCCUCGUAUUGCUACGUCUGAACCUAACGGAGCAAUCCCUCUUACAGUACUCAACAUUUUCCCAUAUGGUACAGUCGAGGUUAUUCAUCCCAAACUCGGCACUUUUAAGGUAAACAGUACUCGUCUUAAACCUUAUUUUGAUAAAAUUGAUAGCAGGGAUGAGGAGUGUGAACUCCUCACAUCACAAUGACCAUGCAACAGAAAGGUAAGUCGAGCUUAGACUAUAAAUAAGCGUUUUUCGGGAGGCAACCCGAGCAUUAAUGAUGUUAACUUUUUUAAAAUUUUAGUUUUUUACAUCUAAUCACUAACUGAGUCAGUGAAACACAGGUUUUCUAAUCUACACGGCCAAGCACACGGACAUGCCUUAGGCCGUGCUCACACCAUGGGAGGAGACACAGCCGUGCGAUACUGCCGUGUGAAAACAGGGUAAAAUUUUUCCUUAACACGGGAUGUGAUAAGUUGCCACGGCCGUGCGAUGUAGCCGUGGGCGAGUCUUUCAAACCAACACAGGCGUGUGACACACCCGUGUCUAUAAACCAUGGUUGAAACUGAGAAUUUAGCACGAGCAUGUCCUAUCAACCGUGCUCAAGACUGAAAAAAGAACACGGGCGUGGACAUCUAUACACGGGCAUUGGAGAAGAGAAUGAAACAGAACAUGGUCGUGUGACACAGACGUGUGCACCAACACGCCCAAAGAGCACGGGCGUGUGAAGAAUUUCAGACACGCCCAAAUUUGAAAAUUACGAUAAACACGAGCUGAAAUAAGGGCACAUGGGGGUGCCCCACGACCGUGUGCCCCAAAAUCUAUAUAAACCCCUUACUAUUCAUCACCCCCUUCCCCAAAAUCUCUAACCCUAGCCGCUGCAACUUCACAUGCCCUACCUGCCACGCCCGUGCACCGUCCACAGCACCACCUUUGACAACCCAAAGCUCCUCCCUCUUACGUUUGUACAUUUUUUUCCUUCUAUUCUCUUCAUUCUUUUACUUAUUUGAUGAUAUUUUAUUUUAUUUUGAGUAAAUAAUCAUAGUUAUAAUGAUAGAAUACUUAUGCUCUUUGUUAAGAAAUUUACCAUUUUAAUUGAUAUAUUUUGCUGCAUUUAUCCACUUUUCUUGUUUCCAUAGAUUUCAUGCUUACCCACACCAUAUUUCAUACUUAUUAAACCCACAUGCAUUCAUUCAAUAGAUAUUUCCAUUAGCAUUACUCUCGUAGUCCUAUUCAUAGUAAUGACUUAAUAUAUCUGAUUGGGUUAUUUUUAGUAUAGUUGUUCUUUAGUACAUGACUUCUAUGAAGUAUCUCUAUUAGUUUUACCAUGCAUAUUUUCUAUGCUAUUGCUGGGGAGUAAUUUUAUUUUUUAUUUUUUCUUGCCAUUGUAGGUAUACUAUCUCAACCUUACGUGGUAAGGAGACCGCCAUCCCCUCUUCGAAGAAAAGGAAAGGAGCAACGUCAUCCUCAGGUCCUACCGCUGAGAUCCGUUACCCUUUCCUCCAGUUUCCCUUUGGACCCCAGGAGGAACUAUUUCAGAUAUUACGGGUCCGACCCUUAGGUGUAGGCCACUGCAUUGACUGGGCUGCACUUAAAAAAAUUCAAAUGGCUGACGUGGUCCAAGCCCUCCUGACGACUACCCGUGGAGGCUUUUCUUUGAGAUCAUCGAGCCGAUGUACCACGAGCUCACAAUGGAACUCUACUCGACCUUCCAUCUUCAAGUCGCCAUGAUAAACUGCGACGAUCCUAGAACGGUCCAAUUCCACCUCAGUGGUCUAGUGCGCCAGUUGAGCGUACCGAAGUUCAGAAUUGCACUAGGGCUGUAUAUGGAAGAGUUCAUGGAUGACAACGAACUUGACACCCUCUAUUGCCACAUCCACUACUCUCUCUCCAAAUGCUGGAAGGACUUUGUCCCUGCCUCGGCCACCUAUGAUCCUAACUACUCUAAGGCAUCAGCCCUCACCCCAUCCCUGUGAUACCUACACGCCAUCUUAGCCCACACUCUGACAGGGCGGCGAGAGAGCACCGGCAUCAUCAACACUCACGACGCCUACUUUUUAUAGAGCAUGGCAAACGGGCACGUCUUCGACCUUGCCUAUUUCAUUGCUCUCGCCAUCCGCCAUCAGACGGAGCGGCAUAGGAGAGGAGUUAUCACCAUUAGCCACUAUGUGACUCGACUGGCACGGCACUUCGGGCUCCUCAACACAGCAGCAUAAUCAUCCUCACUCACUCUCAUUGGUCAUAUGUCCCCUCAAGGCAUCUCGAGUAUGCUACAUAUGAGGAUGCUCGAGAAACGACGUGGAACUUACCCUCCUCAGUACCGCCUCGUCCAGUCCACUAAAGAGGAGAACCCAUAAGACAUUACUGAUGAUGUCCCUCCACGUCAUGAGGACCCACCGUCUCAACCAUCACCCAUCCAUCGUCCAGUUCAUGCGGUGGCUUCAUACUCUGAUAUCUCUAAGCACCUUACUCGAUUUAAGCAGCAGUGUUUUCAGUGCUUUGAUCACAUUGAUGCUACUCUUCAUCAGAUUUGUCAGCACCUUCACAUCUCAUCGCCACCACCACCUCGCGAACCAUCCGGCGAUGCUGAUGUUUAAAGACUUUUUAUUUUUUAUUUUUAUUUCCACUUUUAUCUUUAUUUAUCUUCUUUAAGUAGUUUUUAUUUUAUUUUCCUUUAAUAUUAUUUCAAUUUUAGGUUUUAUAAUUUUUAUUGAAUAAUUUAUAGUUUUGGCUAUUUUAUUACGAGUAAUUAUGCUUCCUUAUAUUUCCUAAAGAGUUCUUGAUUUUAUCACAGUUAUAAAGAGCUCUAAAGCUCAUCAUCACUUAGGAACUAAAAAAUCACUGGAAAAGGUUCUCCACAACUGUCAAGUCCUGCUCGACCACGACCACAGCUACUACCAGAUAUAAUAUUCUGUUGGCGCAGGACUUAUGGACUAAUGAACCUCUACCACCACCGGAGUAUCCUCCUCCACUCUCAUCAUUGCCUUGGCUGAUUAUUCUCCAUAACUCCAAUUGAAGGAGUUCAUUCAUCAUUCAGGAAGUUUAACUUCUCUUCUUAUCUUAUGAGUAUUUAUCUAUAUUUUUCAGUAUAUCUAUCUUUGUACAUUGAGGGCAAUAUACAUCUUAAGUGUAGAGGGUCUUUUAUAUCAUUAUCAGAAAAAUCCCUGAAUUUUAUCUUGUUCUCAAAUCAUCUUCUCAUAUCAUUAUUAGAAUAAAAUUUGAUUAAUUUAUGAUUGUUAUUGAUAUGUCUUCAAUUAAAACAUAGGCAUUCAUGUAUUGAUUGUUUAAACUUUAAGGAAUUAGAUAAUCAAGCAGGAUAAGUUGAUUUUUGAGAAUUAAAAAUUUUUAGGUUGUUUCCCCAAGUUUAGGUAUUAUCUCGAGUUAAAAUUCACAGGGUUAACAUCAACAAGCCAUAAUUUCUGUAAGAUCUUGAGCCUUUAGAGCAACUAUUAUUUCUUUCAUGCUCACUGUUAUUAUUGAUAAUGAGUGUGUCAAUAUUGAUUUAUUAUUCUAGAACUUGCUUGAUUAUGCAUGUCAAGACCACACCCUUGAGUUAAUAUGUCAAUAUGAUAAAGGCACCUAGGUUUAACCCACUCACUCCAUAAAAGCAUACCUUCAUAAUUUACCCUUAGUGAACCCCUUUGAGCCUAACAAGCCAUUAAUUGAUUUACCCUCAAUGUUAACCCAUAACACAUUAUUGUUGAAAUCCCCUAAUUUGAUCCCUAUUUUUGUCGAGAUUUGAUUUGAAUUAUUGCAUAGCUAUGUUUUAUUCUUCGUUGCAAUAAUUAGCAAAGUCCUAUGUUAUUUCACUUGUUUAUUUCACUUGUUCCUAAAAAAAAAUACAAUACUUACUUACAUAUUAAUAGUAAUUCGUCAUUUUUGAGCUUAAGUGUUAAUUCCAUAUUCUAAGAAGAAGCUCACUCGUAUUCAACUUAUAAUUAGUUGUUUUUCUAGUUAGGUGAUUUUUUUAAUUCAAUCUCGAUUCUAACCUUUCCUUUUAGCUUGUGACCACACCCCCUAACCAAAGCCACGUUACAACCCUCUAAAGACCUUUUGAUUGAUGUAUCAUCUCAAUAUAUAGUGGUGGAGAUUUGAUUUUCUGCAAGCCUAUGGUAAUAACUUUUCAUAUUGACUAAUGAGUGCUUCAUUUAUUAUCCUUAAACACCUCGAGUGAUUUGAGUGAAUCUUUAGUGAGGAUGUUAAACUCCGUGAUAUUUUGAAUCAAAGGUAAUCACUUAGAUGAGGGGAGACACCUAUGUUUUCGUGAUGAAAUGCUCAACUUGGAAUGUUUGAAACUUUGAUAUUCUUCUAGUUGAAUUCUCCAUGUAUGAUUACUUAUGAUUUAUUUUAAGAUAUUAUUGAUAGAGAUUAUAGAUUGAGAAGAAUUUAUUUUGAUUGUGAGUUGAGGAUUUUGCUUGAGGACAAGCAAACGCUUAAGUGUGAGAGUUUUUGAUAAACCGCAAUUUAUACAUAUUUUUAUCCCAUGCUUAGCACAUUUAUAUAUGAUUUCUCCUUAGAUUUGGUGAAUUUGAUGCACCAAAUCCUUUAAUUUCAUGUUUUAUACUUAGGUGACCAUAGCAGAGUAAAAAGAGCGAGAAACAGGUCGACAACGGAGAAAAAUAGACCCACAUGGGAAAUCGACACGGCCUGGACUUCCUCACACGGGUAAGCCACACGGCCAUGUCCAUUUGGCAGGAUCGGCGUACAAUUUACACAGGUAGACUACAUGCCCACGAUUAUUUAGCAACCUUCACCACGGUUUGGAGCAAUCGCACACGGGCGUGUCACACAGGCGUGUCCCUGUCGAGCCCAAGUAAAGUCCUAUUCGAAAAAGGCCACUUUUGAUGGCUCUUAGGCAUUCUAAAGCCUAUUUAAACACCUGAGGAGGCAGUUAGAACGGGGGGACACAGAGUAGGAAGCAAUGAAUUACUCGAAAAAAGCCGAUUGAUCCAUCUCAGAAGCUGGAUUAUUCAUCAAGACUGAAGAUCUCUCUUCAAUUUCCAUUCAAGAGUUUUGGGUUUUCUUUAUGUUUUGUAUUCAUUAUUCUUCUAAGGGGAAUGAAACUUAAGACGAAUCUUGUUAUUAUUAUCUAAAUUAUAAGAUAAAUAUUUGACUUGUUCUUAAUUAUGUAUUCUUAAUUCUUGUCUUAAUAUUUCAGGAUAUUGAUUCAGGUUAAUGCGCUUAUUCAGAGGAGCAAAAGUCCCUGUCUAAGAGUAAAUUUGUCAUAAUUAAGUGGAGUUGAUUGCACGCCUAGAGAUAGGGUGACAAGAUUUUACCAGAUUAUGGUGAAACCUAAUAAGGGAUCCAUAGAUCGAGUAAAUGCAACACUAGGGCGUUAAUUACAAAGAGAUUUCAAUUAAUCAACCUAGGGUUAGAUGUUAUUAGUCUCGAGAGAGAUAAUAAUAUAACUUAGGGAUUUCUACGAAUCAAGUUAAAUGAACAAAUCGCCUGAUUCAGAGUCAAAUAACAAGUGAAUCUAGGUGGAUUUUUCCUUGGGUAUUGUCUUUAUUAAUCGAAUUUUCUAAAAAGUAUUUUCCCAAUUUUUAGGCUAGAUAAUAAAAAGAAAGUAAUUACUAGUACUCUUGGUUCCUUUGGGUUCGACAAUUCGGUCUUGUUAAAGCUAUACUACUGUUCGAUAGGUACACUUGCCUUCAUCGUGAUAAUAGUUGGUUUUAAGAACGAUCAUUUAUAAAUUAUUUAAAACUUAUCGCAAAUAUCAUAAAUCAGUAGUCGUUUUACAUGGAUUUAUCUCAUUAAAUGAAUGUCUCAGAUGGUUGACUAUUUUUUUCAGUUUCAAAAAAUGGUCAAAACUCAGUUUGGGAAAGAUAUUAAAAAUUUUCAAAGUGAUUGGGGUGGUGAGUUUCGUGCCUUCGCAUCAACUCUUGCUAUUCAUGGGAUACUUCAUCACCUCUCCCGUCCACAUACAUCCGAGCAGAACGGUAUAGCCAAACCAAAACAUCAAGACAUUGUUGAGAUAGGUCUUACUCUCUUGACCCAAGCUAAUAUGCCCAUGGAUUUCUGGGGUUACGUGUUUUGCAGUGUCGUUUAUCUCAUUAAUCGUCCACCUACCUUGGUUUUGAAAGGUCAAUCUCCGUAUUAAGUUCUUCAUGGUAGUGACCCUACAUAUGAUCAUUUACGGGUGUUUGGGUGUUAUUUCUUUCCAUACUUGCGUCUGUUUCUGCAACAGAACUUGGAUUUUUGUUCUCAGCCUUGCACAUUUUUAGGGUAUAGUUCUCAACAUAAAGGCUAUCACUGCCUCACACCAGAUGGUAAGGCCAUUGUCUCUUAUCAUGUUGUGUUUGAUGAACGUCGAUUUCUCUUUUUUUUUAUGUUGCAAACACCGUCCAGUCAGGUCCAUGUAUCUCUACAUAUGUUCCUAUUGCUCAGUCUUCAUCUGCCGCGCCACGGCAUCCUCGCUUGUUCAGCCCAUUAAGUCCUCUUGACUCUUACUCCUAAUUGUAGUUCCAAGACGUCUAUUUCAGUUGACUCUCCGACUGAAUUGGGUUCUACUCAUGAGGUGCACCGGCUCUUCACCUCAUCUCCUGAAUCACGUCAAUGCGACUCUACUACAAUUCCCUCGGUUAUUCCAUCUAUUUUUCUAGAGAAUACUCAUAACAUGAUUACUCGGUCUAAGGCUAGUAUUUCUAAACCCAAAGCUUUCUCUGUUGAAACUGUCGACUAUGAGCCACACACGAUUGAUGAGGCACUCGCUAGUAAGGAAUGGCAAUUAGUUGUCCAAGCUGAGUUUGUUGCUCUAAUGGCUAACUCUACCUGGGAGCUUGUUCCCUUACUUCAUUGUCGAAAAGUGAUUGGGUGUAAGUGGCUUUUUAAAAUAAAAAAAAUCCUGAUGGGGCUAUCACUUGGCACAAGGCUCAGCUGGUAGCAAUGGGUUGUUCUUAGGUACCUGGGUGUGAUUUCAAAGAAACCUUUAGUCUAAUGGUUACACCUACUACUAUUAGAAAAAUAUUGUCUAUUUCUGUUUCCAAUGGGUGAAAACUUCGUCAAAUCGAUGUGAAUAAUACCUUUUAAGAUGGUGAUCUCACUGACGAAGUGUUUAUGCAACAACCUUCAGGCUAUGUUCAGAUUGGUCCAUAUCGUGAGCUAUUGGUGUGUCGUCUGAAAAAGGAGUUGUAUGGAUUACGACAAGCUCCACGUGCCUGGUUUGAUAAAUUGAAACAUUUUUUCUACCAGAUUUGUGUUAUCCAAAUCUGAUGCAUCCCUGUUUGUUCGAGUUACGUACGUAUCCACUAUUUAUGUUCUAAUCUAUGUGGAUGAUAUUACCGUUACUGAAAGUACGACUGACGGUAUAAAUGACUUUAUUCAACAGUUACAUAAUAAGUUUUCCCUUAAAGAUAUGGGAGAUCUUCACUACUUCUUAGGUAUUCAAGUCACUCGGUCAUCCACUAGAAGUCUUCAUUUGUGCCAACGCAAAUACAUCUAGGAUCUGCUUGACAGGAGUUCCUGGGCUAACGUGAAAAGUGUUCACACACUGAUGGUUAGUUCUUUUACAUUGUCUAAAGAUGAGAAAAAUCACCUCGUUGAUCCCACUAAAUAUAGGAGCCUUGCCGGAGCAUUACAAUAUGUGGUCUUAACUCGGCCUAAUAUUGCUUAUGCGGUAAAUCGUGUUUGUCAAUUCAUGCAUAUGCCUACUACGGUACAUUUGGUGGCUUUGAAAAUAAUCUUGCGCUAUUUACGUGGCACUAUUGAUCAUGGGUUAAUUUUUCGUCCGUUCGACAGAUUGUCUUUAGUUGGCUAUGCUGAUUCCAACUGGGGACUGGAUUUUGAUGAUCGUCAGUCAACCAUAGACUAUUGUGUGUAUUUUGGACAUACAUCCAUCUUUUUGUGUUCUAUGAACCAACAAGUUAUUUUUCACUCCACGGCUGAUGCGAAGUAUCGUAGUCUAGCAGUAGCUACCAGUGAUGUUACUUGGUUAGCCUCUCUGUUAACGAAUUUAAAAAUUUGUUCUGCAAAUCCACUUACUAUUUGGUGUGACAAAUCUAGUGCAAUAGUGGUUGCUGCUAAUCCGGUUUUACACUCCAAAUUUAAACAUGGCGAGCUUGAUCUAUUUUUUGUUCGCGAAAAUGUCACUAAUGGUUCUCUCAUUGUUGGCGAAGUUCCGGCAUGUGAUCAGGUUGCUAGUAUUCUCACAAAACCAUUGUCCAUCUCUACUUUUGCUAGGUUUCAUAGUCUGCCUCAAGUCUUACCUCUUGAGAAGCUGGAUGAAGCCGGGUGAAUAUUAGAGUAUAGACUCUAUUAGUCUGUUACCAUUUUGUUAUACAGGCUAGAAUAUUGUUAGUAACCAGUUAGCAGCAAUUAGUCAUAGCAGUUAGUCAUACAAGUAUAAAUUCUAUUUAUGUAUAGUUCAAAGGUAAGCUAAUAAUACCAGAAGAGAUUUAACGUGUUCAUUCUACUUUCUUUGUUAUUCUUCAUAAUACAGUUGUUAACAGGCUUGAUAUCAUCUCUUAGAGAAAACUAGGAGAGAUAAGAGUAAGAGUAUGAGCAAACUAUGGAUAAGGCUCUACCAUAAUACCUUAGAUGCAGUUAAAGUAAGAGUAAGAGCCAACUUGUUUGGCUUGAUAGCAUCCCCUUAUAGAAAAAGCUCUACCGCAUGGCAUUAGAGCAAUAAAAGUAACACUUAAUUUCUUGGUUGAUAGCAUCUCGUAGGGGAAAAAGGUUUACCAUGUGACAUGAAAGUAAUUAAAGUAAGAUUAAGAGCUAACUUGUUUGUCUUAAUCGCAUUGUUUAAGAGAGAUCCAAAUAAAUUUACUCAAAAUAUGUUAAUCAAAUAAUGCAAAUUACAAUGUUUUGUCAAUUUUUCCUUUAAUUGUAACUGGGUUAAAGUUGGUAGUUGUAACUGGUACUAAUAGAAUAGAUUUGGUAGAAAUGGUUGAAAGCAACAUAAGCAAAGAUGACUUUGAUGUCAUUGUAUUGACCACGUGGGAACUAUAGAAUGUAGAGAAUAGUAUGGUGAUUGGCAUCAGAAUGUUGCUAACUUUGAGGACAGUAGAUAAGGAUGGAUCCAAAGGGGCUGUGGGCGGCCCCCUUGAAAUUUUCAAAUUUUUGAAUUUAUAUAUAAAUUAUCAUGUAUUUUAGAUUUGGUGUCCACAUUGUAUAACAUUCACCCCCUUUGCCAAAUUGUAUUUCAUAUCAUUCGCCCCCUUAAACCAUAAGGUUAUACUUUAUAUUAACAAAGUAUUUUCCAUUUUUUUUAAUUAUAUAAAUUUAAUAAUAACAAUAAUAAUAAAAUAUUAAUGUAUGAUAGGCAUUGAAAGACUAAACUUAUAGGUCCAAUUUGGACUUUAAAGCCAAAUUCUAUAAUUAAUUAAUUGAUUUGGCUCAUACCUAUACAUAUUAGGUUAGCGACUUUCUUGUAUUUUGAUUUGUAUGUCUUCUUAAGGAAUUAUCUUCCUUUGGUAAAGUGUUGACACUACCAAGAGAAAAAGAAAGGAUUUUGAUGACGAGACUAAGAGUAUAGAGCAAAAAUAUACAAAUUAUCUUCCUCUUGGCUCCUUAUGCAAAAAACCUCUCGGUAAAUUUUUUGCAUAAAUUAUGUUCUUUAUUUAUUUGACUUAUUUUUUUUAUUUUUUCCUAAUAUAUUUUGUUUAAUAUAUUAUUAAAAUCAUCAGGUUUUUCGAUUAAAUAAUGGUCAAUAAAAAGAUCGAAUCUAUUUUUUUAAAAAAAAGGUGUCAGAAAGCAAUAGUGAUCAACCAGUUCCUUAACCUUCUGUUAUUCGUGAAGAAAAACCAAAUAUUGGAUAUUCCCAAGCUCCUGAAUGAAAUAUUAGGUCUUAUCAAGCCCAAACUUUUGAAUGCGAUAUGGAGUCUUCCCCAGUUCUUAAACUAGAUUGUUACACUCCUUACCUGAUCCGAUCACCAAAUCCAUGUAGAGAGUACCACAACUUAAACCAUAUGAAUUGAAUAAUAAAUAUUUGAAAUUUAUUAAAGUAUCGAGUUCUUGGUGUAACCCUCAGUAUAAUAAUAUGAAACAAUCAAAUCAAUGAUACGCCAGGAACAAACAUUUUUAGGAAAAACACAUGGCGGAAACCUUACAAAAGUUUAUAAGUUUAUAUGAAAUGUAAGAUGAGUUAAUCCCAUACAAUAGUUUCAAGUGCAUUUUUGGCAGUUAAAACAACACUCUAAAACUAUUUGGUGUAGAUGCCAAUGAGACAAUCAUGUGGAAUAAGAUAUAGUAGCAUAAACACAUACAUCACUUACCAUGUCAUUAUAACAUAUACUAACCACAUAAACAAAUUUCUCGAGCUGCGAACGAACAAGUUUACCCAAACAUCUGGGGUUGGUAGAUAGCUUAUCAGAAAAGCCCUCCAAAUCCUAGAGUUCACCAAAACCUGGAGUUCGCCAAAUAGAGAUUCCCAUAGAAUACGCCAAACACACAACCAAAAAACAAAUACUCUACUAACUUACUUAUUUUUUAUUCUUAGCAUAAACAACUAUGCGCCAAAAAGUAACUUGAUACAUUAUCCAUCAGGCGGGUUGUUACAAUUCUCCCUCACUUAGAAAAUUUUGUCCUCAAAAUUCUUAACGGUGAAUAACUGAGGAUAUUGUUCUUUUAUUGAACUCUCUCUUUCCCAAGUGGAUUCUUUUUUAUUGUGAUUUCUCCAUAAUACAUUAACAAAAGGAAUUCUUUUUCUUCUCAACUUUUUUACCUCCCUUGCUAAUGCGAACAGGUUCUUCUUCAUAGGAUAUGUUUGGCUCCUUUUCUAAUGCUUUGACUUGUACCACAUGAUCUGGUUUGGAUUGAUAUUUUCUUAACACGAACACAUUAAUCACAUUGUGUAUCUUUGAUAACUCUAGUGGCAACACCAAUCUGUAUGCCACUGGACCAACCAGUUCCAAAAUCUCAUAUGGUCCUACGAAAUGCAGACUUAAUUUCCCUUUUUAUUCUAACCUUAUGAUAUUCUUCCAAAGAGAAAACUUCAUAAAUACAUUGUCACCCACUUCGAAAGAGAUUUCUUUCCUUUUUAGAUCAACAUAAGCUUUCUGACGAUCUUAAGUUACUUUCAGAUGAUUUCAAAUAAUAGAGACUUUCUCUUCUGUUUCUUGUACUAAAUCAAAACCAACUAUUUUCCUUUCACUGAGUUCCAUCCAACAGGUGGGAGAUCUACGCUUUCUUCCAUACAAAGCUUCAAAUGGUGAUAUUUCUAGAUUGGCGUGAUGACUAUAAUUAUACACAAACUUUGGCAAAGAAAGAUAUCUUUCUCAAUUCAUUCUGAAAUCUAUAAUACAACUUCUGAGCAUGUCUUCCAAAACUUGAAUUACUCUUUCAAAUUGUUCACCUGAUUAGGGAUGAAAGGCAGUACUGAAUCAUAUCUUGGUUCCUAACGAUUCUUGUUGUUGUCUUCAAAAUCUUGAUGUAAACAUUAGGUCUCGAUCUAAAACUACGGAUGUUGGAAUCCCAUGAAGACAUACAACUUCAGAAACGCAGAGCUUAGCCAACUUUUCCAAUGAGUAAUUUGUGCGGGCAAACAAGAAAUAGACUGACUUAGUAAGUCGAUCUACAAUUGCGCAAACUGAAUUCUUCUUUGAAAGGCUGAAAGGGAGAGCCAAAACAAAAUCCAUGGUGAUGUUAUCCCACUUCCACUUAGGUAUCUCUAAAGGGUACAACUUGCCUAAGGGAACCUGAUGUUCUGUUUUAAUCCGCUGACAUGUCAAAGAAAUGGAGAUGUACUCUGUUAUUUCUUUCUUCAUUCCAGGUCACCAAUACAAACUUCUCAAAUUACGAUACAUUUUAUGUAAUGCUCUCAACCCGACUCGAUAUGUCGAGUUUGGAUCUCGGGUAUUACUAUACACAGUACUUAGUAAAAUAUCAAAAUAGCUGACAAAUACUCUUUACUAAAAACAUUUUCUUAUUAUUUUAACCGAAAGAGUAAAUAUUUAAUAACAAGGGUAAAUAUUAGAAAUAAAAUAAAUUAUUACAUCAGACUUGGUACAACUGAUUAUAGUAUAAAAUUUUGUUAAAGACAGACUCUUGGGGAAUAACCCUAAUCUAUGCCACUUUUCCACUAUAUACAUAAUAACCCACUUCAGCACUAUCUUGGCAUACUCCUAGCAUCGUCACUCCUAACGCAUUCUCUACCCAUACACCUAAAAACAACAACAUUAUAAGCUCAAGAGAACUUAGUGAAUUUUAUCCCAAAAAUACCUUGGCGAGUACUUUAAUUAUUUGACUAACAUCUGUGCGCCAUCUAUCUUUUUAAACCACCUUCUUCUGAAUCAGACGGAUACUAUUACAGAUUCGACUUUCACUUAUACGCCAGCUAUCAUACUCUUAACACACUCACUUAUUCUAGAACAGUUUUUCACAUAUAUUAAUCAUUGACAGAUACAUACAUUUUUGGUGAAUACUUACGCAGAUCUAAAUACCAUCAAACUACUAAUCAAAUCAUACAUUGAUUCGAUACCAUACAAACUCCCAUUGAUAAUGUACUACACAAUUUAUUCAAAUGAAUUUUCCACUACUUUGUUACAGGACCCCAGAAAAUCAUCAUAACAAUAACUCAAUUUCCAUAUGAUUUCAAAAAAGGAUAUAAUACAACCCAAAUAUGGCGAAUUCCAGACAACUCAGAUUCAACAACUGUAUAACAUAGACAAAAUCACAUUGAUAAUUUCUUAUGUCCCAAAUAACUAUGAAUACGUCCAUAUUCAAUACUAACAGAUAAUCAUGACGGAUACCCUUCUUAUACAUAUAUGCAUUUCUUUUCUAAAAAUCUCUUAAGACUUACUCAGUUAUAUCACAGAUCUUAUUCAACCUUUAACUUCAGACGUAUCAUAAACCUAUCAGAUCAAUAUCUGUCACAAAGAAAUUGGCAUUUACCCAGAUUUUACAAUAAAGGCAGAUAAUCAUAUUAUAGUAGACAAACUUAACUGAAAGUGCUACAAAGGCCAAACAAAAUAUGCCAUAAAGGCUUCAUACAAAAUCAUGUGUUUACUAUCUCGACGGAUGAUACAUGAUAUUCGUGACAGGUUUUAAAAAUUUAUAAUUAAUCGUUCUUUAAAUUAACUAUUAUCACGAUGAAGGCAAGUGUACCUCUCGAACAGUAAUAUAGCUUUAGCAAGACCGGAUGGUCGAACCCAAAGGAACCAAGAGUACUAGUAAUUGCUUUCUUUUUAUUAUCUAGCCUAAAAAUUAAGGGAUUUAUUUAUCUAAUUAAUUAACUAAACUAAGGGUGCACAGAAAGAAAAUUGGGGAAAAGCUUUUGGGAAAACUCGAUUGAUUAAGACAAUACCCAAGAAAAAAUCCACCUAGACUUCACUUAUUAUUUGACUCUAAAUCAGACGAUUUAUUCAUUUGACUUGAUCCGUAGAAAUCCCUAAGUUAUAUUAUUAUCUCUCUUGAGACUAAUAACGUCUAACCCUAGGCUGAUAAUUGAAAUCUCUUUCUAAUUAACACUCUAGUGUUGCAUUAACUCGAUCUAUGGACUCCCUUAUUAGGUUUCACCCUAAUCCAGUAAAAUCUUGUCACCCUAUCUCUAGGCGUGCAAUCAACUCCGCUUAAUUAUGAAAAAUUUACUCUUAGAUAAGGACUUUUGCUCCUCUAAAUAAGCACAUUAACUUGAAUCAAUAUCUUGGAAUACUAAAACAAGAAUUAAGAACACAUAAUUAAGAACAAGUCAAAUAUUUAUCAUACAAUUCAGAAAAUAAUAACAAGAUCCGUCUUAGGUUUCAUUCCCCUUAGGUAUUUUGAGGUUUUAGUUCAUAAUUAUGAAAGAAAACAUCUCAAAAGAAUAAUGAUAACAAAACAUAAAGAAAACCCAAAACUCCUGAAGGAAAUUGAAGGGAGAUCCUCAGUCUUGACGAUGAAUCCGGCUUUUGAAAUGGAUCAAUCGGCUUUCCUUGAGUAAUUCAUUGCCUCCUACUCCCUAUGUAUCUUCUAAGUGCCUCCUCAGGUGUUUAAAUAGGCUUUAUAAUGUCUAAAAGCCCUCAAGAGUGGCCUUUUCUGAAUAGGACUGAACUUGGGCUCGAUAGGGACACGCCCGUGUGACACGCUCGUGUGCAAUUGCUUCAGACCGUAGUCAAGGCUACUAAAUAGGCAUGGGCGUGUGGUCUACCCGUGUGAGGAAGUCCAGGCCGUGUUGAUUUCUGAUGUUGGUCCAUUUUCUUCAUUUUCAGCCCGUUUCUCGCUCUUUUUACUCUCUUAUGCUCACCAAAGUAUAAAACAUGAAAUUAAAGGAUUAGGAGCAUCGAAUUCACCAAAUCUAAGGAGAAUUCAUCCAAAAAUAUGCUAAGCAUGAGGUAAAAAUAUGUAUAAAUUAUGGUUUAUUAAAUACCCCCACACUUAAGCGUUUGCUUGUCCUCUAGCAAAAUCCUCAACUCAAAAUCAAAAUAAAUUCUUCUUAACUUGUAACCCCUAUCAAUAAUAUCUCAAAAUAAACCAUAAGUAAUCAUGUAUUGAGAAUUCAACUAGAAAAGCAUUAAAGUCUCAAACAUUCCAAGUCGAGCAUUUUAUCACGAAAACAUAGGUGUUUCCCCUCAUCUAAGUGAUUACCUUUGAUUCAAAAUAUCACAAAGUUUUAACAUCCUCACUAAAGAUUCACUCAAAUCACUCGAGGUGUUUAAGGAUAAUAAAUGAAGCACUCAUUAGUCAAUAUGAAAAGUUAUUACCAAAGGCUUGUAUGAAAGUCAAAUCUCCACCACUAUAAAUUGAGAUGAUACAUCAAUCAAAAGGUCUUUAGAGGGUUGUAAAGUGGCUUUUGUUAGGGGGUGUAGUCACAAGCUGAAAGAAAGGUUAGAAUCAAGAUUGAAUUGAAAAAUUACCUAACUAGAAAAAUAACUAGUCAUUACUUGAAUACAUGUAAACUUCUUCUCAAAAUAUGAAAUUGAACACUUAAGCUCGAAAACAACGAAUUACUACUAAUAUAUGUAUGUAUUAUAAUUUUUUUUAAGAACAAGUCAAAUAAUAUAGGUUAAUUAUCAAAAAUAAAACAUAGCUAAGUAAUUUAUUCAAAUUAAAUCUCGACAAAAAUUGGGAUCAACUUGAUUGAGGGGAUUUCAACAGUAAUAGGUUAUAGGUUAAUAUUGAGGGUAAAUCAAUGGAUAGUUUGUUAGGCUCAAAGGGGUUCACUAAGGACAAAUUAUGAAGGUAGGCUUUUGUGGAGUGAGUGGGUUAAACCUAAGUGCCUUUAUCAUCUCGACAUAUUAAAUCAAAUGGUGUGGUCUUGACAUGCAUAAUCAAGCAAGUUCUAGAAUAACAAAUCAAUACUGACGCACUCAUAAUAAAAGUGAGCAUGAAAGAAAUAAAAUAUGAUCUAAAAGCUUAAAAUCUCACAAAAAAUUAUGGCUUUUUGAUGUUGAACCUGUGAAUUUCAACUCAAGAUAAUACCUAAACUUGGGGAAACAACCUAAAAAUUUUAAAUACUCAAAAAUCAACUUAUCAUGUCUGAUUUUCUAAUUCCUUCAAAGUUUAAACGGUCAAUGCAUAAAUACCUAUGUUUUAAUUCAAGACAUAUCAAUAAAAAUCAUAAAUUAAUCAAAAUUCAUUCUAAUAAUGAUAUGAGAAGAUUAUUUGAGAACAAGACAAAAUUUAAGGAUUUUUUUGAUAAUGAUAUAAAGGCCCCCCACACUUAAGAUGUACAUUGCCCUCAAUGUACAAAGUUAGAUUUACAACGAUAUAGAUAUAAGAUCAUAAGAUAGGGAGAGAAGUGAAACUUCCUGAAUAAUGAAUGAACUCCUUGAAUUGGAGUUAUGGAGAAUAAUCGGCAAAGGCAAUGAUAAGAUUGGAGGAGGAUACUUCGGUGGUGGUAGAGGUUGGGUUCCACAACCUCAGUGUCCAGCGAAGAAGUUAUCGUGGUGGUCGAGCAAGACAUUACAGUUAUGGAGAACCUUUUCCAGUGGAGUUUCAAGUUUCUAAGUGAUGGUGAGCUUUGGGGCUCUUAGUAACUGUGAUAAAAUCAAGAACUCUUUAAGAAAUGUAAGGAAGCAUAAUUACACGUAAUGAAAUAGCUGAAACUAUAAAUUAUUCAAUAAAAAUUAUAAAACCUAAAAAUGAAAUAAUAUUAAAGGAAAAUAAAAUAAAAAGUACUUAAAAAUGUAAAUAAAAAUAAAAUAUAAAAAGUUUUUAAACAUCGUCAUCGCUGGAUGGUUCGCAAGGUGGUGGUGGUGAUGAGAUGUGAAGGUGCUGACAAAUCUGAUGUAGAGUAGCAUCAAUGUUAUCAAAGCGCUGAAAACACUAUUGCUCAAAUCAAUAAGGCACUCAGAGAUGUCAGAGUAUGAAAUCGCCGCAUGAACUGGACGAUAGAUGGGUUGUGGCUGAAAUGGUGGGUCCUCAUGACGUGGAGGGACAUCAUUAGUAAUUCCUCCGGGUCCUCCUCCUCGGCUGACUGGAUGAGGCGGUACUGAGCAGAAUCGAUUCCAUGUCAUUUCUCGAUCAUCCUCAUAUGUAGCAUGCUUGAAAUACCCUGUGGGGACAUCUGGCCGAUGAGAGUGAGCGAGAAUGAUUGUGCCACUGUGUUAAAGAGUCCAAAGUGCCGAAUCAAUCGAGUCACAUAGGGGCCAAUAGAGAUGACUCCCUUCCUAUGCCGUUCCGUCUGAUGGCGAAUGGCGAAGGCAAUGAAAUAGGCGAGGUCGAAGAUGUGCCCAUUCGCCAUGCUCCAUAAAAAGUAGGCAUCGUGAGUGUUGACAAUGCCGGUGCUCUCUUGUCUUCCUGUCAGAGUGUGGGCCAAGAGGGCGUGUAGGUACCUCAAGGAUGGAGGGAGAGUUGAUGUUUUGGAACGGUUAGGGUCGUAGGUGGCCGAGGGAGGGACGAGGGCCUCCAGCACUUCGAGUGAGAGUAAUGGAUGUGGCGAUGAAGGAUGUCGAGUUCGUUGUAGUCCAUGAACUCCUCCGUAUACAGCCCUAGUACAAUUUUGAACUCCGGUACGCUCAAUUGGCACACUAAACCACCAAGACGAAACUGGACCGUUGUAGGAUCGUCGAACUCUGUCAUAACGGUUUGGAAGUGAAAGGUCGAAUAGAGUUCCAGUGUGAGCUUAAGGUAUAUCGGCUUGAUGAUCCCAAAGAAGAGCUCCCAUGGAUCAGUCGACAGAAGGGCUCUGACCGCGUCAACCAGUUGGACUUGUUCAAGUGCGGCCCAUUCAAUGCAGCGGCCCACACCUAAGGGUCAGGCCCGAAGUAUCUAAAAGAGUUCUUCCUAAGGUCCUAAGGGAAACUAAAUAAAGGGGUGCCUGAUCUCCACGGUAGGACCCAAGGAUGACACUGCUCAUUUCCUUUUCUUUGAAGCGGGGACAGCGAUUUUCUUACCAUGGUUUGACAUGAUAUCUGCAAUGGCAAGACGAAAAAAAUAAUAAAUAAAAAAGUAAACUUACUCUCCAACAAUAACAUGAAAAAACAUAUGCAAUGCAUGUUAAAACUAAUAGAGAUACUUUAUAGGAGUCAUGUACUAAAGAACAACUACGCUGAAAAAUAACCCAAUCAGAUAUAUUAAGUCAUUACUACGAAUAGGAAUAUGAUAAUAAUGCCUAGUGAAUGAAUGCAUAUGGAAAUGAUGAUAUGGAAAAUAGAAUGAAGUCCAUGGCAACACAAGAAUGGUGGUAUCAUAAUGCAUCAACUAAGAUAGCAAGAAACAAAGAGCAUAAGCAAGGCUAUUAUUAGAACUAUGAAGAUUAACAGUCAAAAUAAAACAAGAAAAAUCGAAUUCAUAAACGAAAUGAAGAGAAAAGAAUGGACAAACGCAAAAGCUUGGUAGAGGGAGGAGCUUGGGCCGUCGUUAGUGGUGUUGUGGUUGGCGCACGGGCGUGGCAGGAAGGCGUGGGCAAGAGUUACGGCGGCUACAGUUAGGGAUUUUGGGGAAGGGGAUGAUGAAUAUAAGGGGUUUAUUCAACUCGUGUUUAUCGCGAUUUUUAAAUUUGGGCACGUCUGAAAUUCGUCCCACGCCGAUGUCCUUUGGGCGUGUUGGUGCACAUGGCCGUGUCGUACGGUCGUGUCCUACUUCGUUCACUUCUCCCACGCUCGUGUGUAUAAGCACACGCCCGUGUUGUUUGAUCAGUCUUGAGCACGGUUGGUGGGCACGGGCGUGUCGCACACUUGUGCUAAAUUCUCAGUUUCAACCACGAUUUCAAGACACGGGCGUGUCACACGCCCGUGUUGAUUUGAAAGACUCACCCACGGCCACGUUACACAGCCGUGGCAACUUAUCACAUCUCGUGUUAAGCAAAAAUUUUUCCCUGUUUCCACACGGUCGUGUCGCAAGGCCGUGUCUCCUCCCGUAGUGUGAGCACGGCCUAAGGCACACCUGUGUGCCUCACCGUGUGAAUUAGAAAACCAGUAUUUCAAUGACUCAGUUAGUGAUUAGAUGUUAAAAACUAAAAUUUUAAAGAAGGUAACACUAUUAGUGCUCGGGUUACCUCGCGAAAAGCAUUUAUUUAUAGUCUAAGCUCGACUUACCUCUCUGUUGCAUAGUCAUGGUAGUGCAAGGAGUUUACACUCCUCAUCCCUGCUAUCAAUUUUAUCAAAAUAAGGUUUUAGACAAGUACUAUUUACCUUAAACGUACCGAAUUUGGGAUGAAUUACCUCGACUGUGCCGUAUGGGAAAAUACUAAGUACCGUAAGAGGGAUUUCUCCAUUAGGUUCAAAGGUGGCAAUCCGAAGGUCUGCUGCAUCUAAUAGUACUUUGUUUCCAACCUUAAGUUGAGUUGGAGAAAUAUUGAGCUCGUCAUGGCAUGGUUUUUUUUAUCGUGUGAUUUCGAUUUCUGUGUCUGCCAUUCAUCUAGUUCCUCAACCUGUAGCCUUGUUCUUCAUAGAUGGGUUCUUUGUCGUUAUUUGAAUGUGGCUCAAGUGUGUUUCUCGAAUGUGUUUCCUGCACAGAGGGUUUCACCACAUGAUCAGUACUGAUAGAAUUUCGAGCUUGAGGAGUAAUUGAUUCAUCACCCAUACGAAGUGUGAGUUUACUUGUGCCAACAUCAAUUAUAGUUUUAGCAGUUGCUAGAAAGGACCGUCUUAAAAUUAAAGGUGCGUCGCUAUCCUCUUCUAUGUCUAGAACAACAAAAUCAAUUGGGAAAAUAAAUUUAUCGAUUUUUACCAAUACAUCUUCAAUGAUACCCCUGGGAAAUCUAAUAGUUUUAUCAGCUAACUGAAUACUCAUCCUAGUUUGUUUAGGUUUCCCAAUACCUAGUUGUUUAAACAUUUUAUAAGGCAUGAAAUUGAUACUAGCCCCUAAAUCAGCCAAAGCGUUAUUAACAUCUAAGCUACCAAUUAAAUAAGGAAUCGUAAAACUCCUUGGAUCUUUCAAUUUGUUGGCCAUGAUGUCUCGUUGAGAGCACCAAAAAUAUCCUAUUCUCUGUAAAAUAGUAAAAAUAACAGUAAAAGGGAAGUAGGGUCGAAUCCUCAGGGACCGGAUUGUACAAAUGCUCGUUUCUUGAAAUCCUGGACAAUUUCUUGGCCAAGAAAACCUGCGUUCCUGAAAAAUAAAAAAAAUAAAAUUAAGAAUCUGGAAAAAAAAAUAGAAUUUAAAGGGAAUUGAAAUUGCGAAAUUAAAUAAAUUGUCGAAAUUAAAAUGAGGAAAAAUAAAUAGAGUUGGGAAAAGAGAAAGUUUCUUAUGUGGCGAGAUUCCAGGCUCCGGUUGUCUCGUUCCGCCUUGGGUUCAAUCCUUGGCCUUUAAGUAACCCUUCCCAACUCAAGUAAGCCAGUUAUAGUGGAAGAGGAUGCCUACGACCACCAGCUCCAAAGAUUAGACUUACGAUUUUUAGGGAACCUGACUCUAACCAGUAAUCUAUGCUAGAUCAACGCUUCUCAAUGGCGAAUCCCAAGUCAUUUUGUCUCUUUGGCUCGCCAACCUUUGACGCAGUAAAUUAACAAACCGACUGUGCAAUCCUUUCAAAACAUACAAAGCGGUCGCCUUUGCAUAUGCUGAAAAGCUUACUUCUUAAGGGCCAUGGACGGAAGCGUCAGCCCGUAGUGCGGAGAAACGAUGAAUACUUGGCGAGAAGGCUAAGUACGGGUUCUAGGCCUCAAAAACCCUUUUUUGGGGAAUAUUGACAACCUUCAGCUAGAUAGGUUUUAAUGGCUCAUGAUAAUGGUGGAAAAGGAAAUAAAUAUAAAAAUAGAAAAUAAAAUUUUAUUCAAAGAAAAUAUGAAGAAACAAAAGCCUAGACUUUUAGGGGGAGAGUGUUUAUAGAAAAAGAUGAACACCCCAAAUAGAGUCACUUCACCCCCUAUUUAUAGUGCUAGGGAGAUAAUCUAAUUUAACUUAAAUUCUAAAAAGAUAAAUACAUUUAAUUAAAGAUAAUUAAAAUAAAAUCCUAAAAUUAAAUAAUCCUAAUAAUUAUCUUAAUAAUAAUUAUUCUAAUAUAAAUAAAAUGGAGUCUUAUAAAAUAAAAUCUCUUCUUUUUGAGUUUUCAGUCCUUGUGUCAUCCAUGCUCGCACUUUUGGAACAAUCUUUUUCCUGUGUCGCAUAUCAGCCCAUUGUGUCUCCAAAUUCGCACUUUUGUCCCUUAAUUUUUCUUUUUGCCUCCAAAUCAGUCCUUUAAAGAUAAAAAGACAUAAAUAGCUAAAAUUAGUAUGAUCAAGCUCAGAAUAAAUAUAUAAUUAGCACAUAAAAACAUGACAUUCUAGAGUGUUAUCAGGCCAGCUUAUUUUGCAGAAUGGCUGAGCAAACUGCAUUCAUCUCCACAUGCGAUGCCUCAUCUAACUUCCGUUUAUUCGCUAAAAGCUCCUUUAAAAAUUUGACUGUGUUCAGCAUCUACGAAAAAGCUUCAAUAAACGGUAAGUUAAUAUGUAAUUUCUUUAAAAUUUUAAGGAAUUUACCGAAUUGUUCGUCUGAGUGGUCUUUCCUUGUCGUAUUUGGGUAUAGUACACGUGGUUUGUACUCUUUACUUACCUGUUUUUGCUCAUUAUGGUCCACCUUACCUCUACCUUUACUUACCACAAUUUCUUGCCUUAGUUCUGGUUGAGGUGCAACUAACCCUUCCUCAUCUUGAAUGGUAAUCGCAUUGAGCUAUUCCCUUGGAUUAGAUUUAGUGUUACUCAACAGGCUACCUUGUGGUCGUUCAGAUACCAAUUUAGCAAGCUGGCUUAUCUGAGUUUUGAGCCCUUGAAUCGACACUUGUUGAUUCUUAAGUGCUUUCUUGGUAUUCUAAAAACAAGUUUCUAACACUGAGAUGAAUUUUGUUAGCAUCUCCUCAAGGUUCAGCUUUUUCUCUUGUUGGUAAGGUGGUUGUUGGAAGCCUGGAGGUGGUGGGGGUCUCUGAUUUCCUUGGCCUCCCCAUGAAAAAUUUGGAUGGUUCCUCCAACCUGCAUUUUAAGUGUUACUAUAAGGAUUAUUUUAAGAUCGAGGAUUAUUACCCAUGUAAUUCAACUGCUCAUUUUCCAUACUGUGGCCAUAAGGUGGGUAUUCUGAAUUGCUUGAUCCACCUCUACUUGCUUCGCACUGCAUUACUAGGUGAACCUGUGAAUAACCAAAUAACCCGUCAAUUUUCUUAUUUAAUAGUUCUACCUGACUAGAGAGCAUCAUGACUAAAUCAACGUUAAAAACGUCAGUUGUUUUAGUCGGCUUUGUCCUCAUUACUUGCCACUGAUAAUUAUUCAGUGAGAUCUCUUCUAUAAAUUCAUAAGCAUCUUCAGAUGUCCUAUUAUUGAUAGUCCCACCAGCGGAUGCAUCGAUAAGUUGCCUUGUUGAGGGGUUUACACCGUUGUAAAACGUCUGAACUUGCUGCCAUAGAGGCAACCCAUGAUGAGGGCACCUUCUCAACAGAUCUUUGUAUCUCUCCCAUGCAUCAUAAAGCGUUUUUAGAUUCAUCUGCAUAAAAGAAGAGAUAUCACUACGUAAUUUAGUCAUUUUAGCCGACGGAAAAUAUUUUAAUAAGAAUUUUUUAUUGUCAUUUGUUCCCAAGUAGUGAUUGACACUCGUGGUAACGAGUUCAACCACUGUUUAGAUUUGUUCCUCAAUGAAAAGGGAAAUAACCGAAGACGAAUGGAAUCAUCAGAAAUGCCAUUAAUUUUAAAUGUGUCGCAAAACUCUAGAAAAUUUGCCAAGUGAUUGUUCCUCAUCCUGCAAACUAUCAAACUAAACAAAUUGUUGUAUCAUUUGAAUUGUGUUAGGUUUUAGUUCAAAAUUAUUUGCAGCAACAGCUGGCCUAACUAUACUUGACUCAGUUCCUCUUAAAGUAGGUUUAGCAUAAUCAUACAUAGUACGCGGAGUAGGAUUCUGAUUAGCAGCAAUCGCAAGAGGUAGCGGAUUUUCCUGAUUUUCAGUCAUCUCCUCAGUUGUGGUGGAAAUAUCGUCCUCUUGCUCUUUCUCUGUGUAUCUUAGGCUUUGCCUUAUUUCUCUUCGAUUUCUGUGAGCUGUGCGAUCGAUCUCACUAUCAAAAAGUAAUGGUCCUGACGGGUUUCUUCUAGUCAUGCACUAUAAAAACUUGCCAUAAGCGAAUAAACGAAAAAUAAGAAUAAGAAAAUAAAAUAAAAAUUCAAAUUGCAACAAAAGUAAAAUGGCUAAAGUAAUAAAAAUUGAGUGUUCCUAAUAUCUUCGUUCCCCGGCAACAGCGCCAAAAACUUGAUACGUGAUAUUCGCGACAGGUUUUAAAAAUUUAUAAUUAAUCAUUCUUGAAACUAACUAUUAUCACGAUGAAGCCAAAUGUACCUAUCGAACAGCAAUAUAGCUUUAGCAAGACCGGAUUGUCAAACCUAAAGGAACCAAGAGUAUUAGUAAUUGCUUUCUUUUUAUUAUCUAGCCUAAAAAUUAAGGGAUUUGUUUAUCUAACUAAUUAACUAAACUAAGGGUGCACAGAAAGAAAAUUGGGGAAAAGCUUUUGGGAAAACUCAAUUGAUUAAGACAAUACCCAAGGAAAAAUCCACCUAGACUUCACUUGUUAUUUGACUCUGAAUCAGACGAUUUAUUCAUUUGACUUGAUCCGUAGAAAUCCCUAAGUUAUAUUAUUAUCUCUCUCGAGACUGAUAACGUCUAACCCUAGGUUGAUUAAUUGAAAUCUCUUUCUAAUUAACACCCUAGUGUUGCAUUAACUCGAUCUAUGGACUCCCUUAUUAGGUUUCACCCUAAUCCGGCAAAAUCUUGUCACCCUAUCUCUAAGCGUGCAAUCAACUCCGCUUAAUUAUGAAAAAUUUACUCUUAGACAGGGACUUUUGCUCCUCUGAAUAAGGGCAUUAACUUGAAUCAAUAUCUUGGAAGAUUAAACCAAGAAUUAAGAACACAUAAUUAAGAAUAAGUCAAAUAUUUAUCAUACAAUUCAGAUAAUAAUAACAAGAUCCGUCUUAGGUUUCAUUCCCCUUAGGUAUUUAGGGGUUUUAGUUCAUAAUUAUGAAAGAAAACAUCUCAAAAGAAAAAUGAUAACAAAAUAUAAAGAAAACCCAAAACUCCUGAAGGAAAUUGAAGGAGAUCCUCAGUCUUGACGAAUAAUCCAGAUUUUGAGAUGGAUCAAUUGGCUUUGCUUGAGUAAUUCAUUGCCUCCUACUCCCUGUGUGUCUUCUAAGUGCCUCCCCAGGUGUUUAAAUAGGCUUUAGAAUGCCUAAAAGCCCUCAAGAGUGGCCUUUUUCGAAUAAUACUGAACUUGGGCUCGACAGGGACACGCUUGUGUGACACGCCCGUGUGCGAUUGCUUCAGACCAUGGUCAAGGCUGUUAAAUAGGCACGGGCGUAUGGUCUAUCUGUGUGAGGAAGUCCAGGCCUUGUUAAUUUCCCAUGUUGGUCUAUUUUCUUCGUUUUCGGCCCAUUUCUUAUGCUCACCUAAGUAUAAAACAUGAAAUUAAAGGAUUAGGAGUAUCGAAUUCACCAAAUCUAAUGAUAAUUCAUCCAAAAAUAUGCUAAGCAUGAGGUAAGAAUAUGUAUAAAUUAUGGUUUAUCAAUGGACUAUCACAGAAGGUGUCAUAGGUUUCUCCAACAUGGGCUUAUACAUAAUUUCAUGUAUUGUGAUCUGCCAUUUCAAAUUAUACAUUAUCGAAGGCUACACCAUAAGCAUAUAUACAGACAUAUCUUGCAAUGGGUCUUAGCCAUAUAGCUUACACACACAUUCAUGUAUUGUAAUCUGCCAAUCCAAUCUUCAUCUUAUUAGAGGCUACACCAUGAGUGUUUCCAAAUCAAAGUAAGAUGUCAUGGGUCUCAACCUUAUAGUUUAUUCUUGUUUUCGUAUCGUGAUCUGCCAGUCUAGUUAGCAAUAUAACUGCCCUACCAGAGGCAUCAUAGAGGAAAAUUUGCUCAGCAUUUACUUCCCUAGAUGAUCACCUUUUUACUAGCUCAUACAUCUCCUACAUCAGACCUUACCUGCAUGCUUACCAAACAUUAUUCUUUUUAAUAGAAUUUAUACAUAUCAUCGUAGCACAUCUUUCAUCUUUGCUAAACUCAUAUUUAUACUAAUUUCUGUAGACAUCAUCAUCACAUAUAUAUAUGCUUCUUGUUUGAACAGUUCAUAUCAAAAAGUCAGGAUAGAGACCCACUUAACUCUCAUCUAUUGCAGUUCAAAGUUCUGGACUCAACCACCCUUCUCAAACCAACAGUAAAAACUGCUUACAAAACAUAGAAUCACCAUUAAAACUCAUUUACAUACAAAUUACCAUCAUCUUAAUCACUUUUCCGCUGCUAAUUAAUAAAUAAAUGUUGAGUAGUAAAUAAAUAAAAAAUUAACUAAGUUUUCAAAAAAAAAAAGUCACUGUGAUGAGAAGAAUAAGUUUUCAAAAACAAAAGUCACCGUGAUGAGAAGAAUGUCAAAAUUAAUUGGUUUUUGUUAACUCAUAUGUUUUUCUAAAAAUAGGUUAAGUUUUCUUCUGAAAUAAACAAAUAUUUUGAAAUGAUUGUUUUAUAAACUCCAAUCAUAGGCCAUCUUAGUGGUCGAUGUAAUCUCCCAAAUUCGGUUCUAACAUCUAGGUUGGGUUGGAGAGGUUACAAUAUAUAUAGAAGGAUUCAUCAAUAAUGGAAACUUGAAUACAAGCAAAGAAAGAAAUCAAUCAAUGUGAAUUACUAACAAGUUCAAAAGCAUAUAUUUGGAUUAUAUUUUGUAAAGUACAAGAAUGUCAAGGAAUUAGACAUUUUGUUUUGAUAGUGAUUAUAUUUUAUAUAUAUUUACUUUUAUGCACUUUCAUAUUGAGUUGAUCAACAGUUUUGAAACUUUAUAGAAAACUUCAAGGUAUCACUUGUUGCGUAAGUGAUAUUUUACUAAGGGUGCAUAAUUGGAGGCCUCCUAGAUAUGUGAAAAUAAUGUUUAAAAAUCCAUCAAAUAGUAAAAACAUAAAUGAAAUAGCAUAUUGAUAUAUAUGGUAUCUUGAGUGUUGAAUUAAACAUUCUUUAGUAAAAGAAUGUACAUUUUGCACAUUGUGGGUGUGUUGGUUUCUUAUAUAUCAAUUAAGCACAAAUUAAAGAAAAAUAAUAUAUAUCACCAUAGUGUUGUAAUAUUUUGUAAAAUUUGUAAAAUUAUAUAAGCAAAAAAGUUUACCUAUCUCGUUAAAUAAAACUCAUUGAGUUGGUUCUUAAUAUUGAAGAAUUAGAGUGGUUGACUUCUUUAUUCAUUUUAUCCAACUACAAGUUGGAUUAAAGUUGUGGAAAUAGAAUGGUUGAAAAUUUGUGUUAAUGAGAAUUAAAGUUGUGGCCACAACUGAUGCCGACUAUUUUCUAGAAACAGGGACUGAUGUCCAAAACAUGUAGUAAAAUAAAAUUUUAGACAUGUUAGCAUAUGAAUUUAUUAUAUUAUAGAUUCAAUGUAACACCCCUAUCCUAUCUCUGUUGCUGGAUUAGGAUUUCAGACUAUUACUAAGAAAAAUAGAACAUUUAACUUUCCAACAGAAACAAUUAUACAAUUAAAUACCAACAUAUAUCAAUUAAAUCUAAUCAUGGCAAAUAUUACACUUAUAGACCUUGAAUCGAGCCUAUGGAGCCCUAGAAAAAAUUUAGGAACAAUUUGGGAUCAAAUCGAAACAAAUCAAAACAUUUUGAAAAAAAUAUAAAAAUUUGGGAAAACAGGGGUCACACGGUUGUAUGGCCAAGUCGUGUGACAAAGCCUACACCGCGUAAACAUUAGAAGUCAAAACACUCAACUGUGUCCCAGCCUGUGUGUCUACUCAUGUGUAUAAUCGAAAUAGGGUCACACAGCUGUGCUGCAGACUGUAAACCGUGUGUGUAUUCGAAGUUAGGUCACACGACCAUGUGACCGACCGUGCCACAAACUGUUUUGAGACACACGGUCGUGUCACAGACCAUGUGAAAUAUGCACCUAAAAUAAUAAAUAUACACGACCAUGUGUGGUGACUAUGUGUGGCACAUGGUCGUGUGGUAGCUUGUGUCUCAGGCUGUGUGCUCCAUUUUUAACCCCUAAAUUAAGUUAAUCAAGCAUCAUUUCUUGCACAGCAAGACAUACCAUAUCUAACUAAUUUUACAUGGUAAAAAUCACAUUCAGAUCACCAAAUACAUACCAAAAUUUCAUUCAUCCUAUGUCUAACCAAUAUACCAUCAAAAGGCAUCUCAAUCCAUACAUUCAUUCAACUCAAGAACAAAGUUACAAUAAAGGAACAAGUUUUAUCAUUAGUUAACCAUUCAUGCCUAAAACCACCAAUCUAAUUGACGAAAAUAUGGGCAUACUCAACAAGCAACCAUUUCAAAACAUCAUCACCAAAUCUUUAUAUACCAUUUAGGAUCAACUUAAUUAUAUCCAACACAAGUACACAUCCAAAACAAAGCACAUCACUAGAAAUACCAAAAUAACUUAACGAUUUACACAUCAACAAUAAGACACCACAUCCCAAAAUGAAAUACAAAAGCUACCGAGAUGGCUGGAUAGUGUGUGCUCCAAAACAAUUCGUCUAGUCAGUCCAUAAAACGCCAACUCAACCAAUAUAGAUAAACAAAAAAGAUAAGUUCUAAUUCUUGAUAUUCAAAUGCAAGAUCACACCACAUUAGUAUAUAUUUAUUUACAUCAUAAAUGAUACCUUCCAAAAGUCAUAACCAAUUCAUCAUCCAAAAUUUCUCAAUACAACCAUUAACAUUUAUAAAACAAAAACUUCAUAGAAACAUUUAUCAUUUAGUAGUAAUAUAACUAUCCAACAAAAUUGAACAAAUAAAUGAGUUUUAAGUCAUUUGAUGCAUAUCCCGCUGAACUAUAGUAACUAGACUCGGAUACUCAAUGAUGCAUAACAGAGGCACCAAAGUGCAAACAGAGGAAGGAAUAUGCAAUCAAAGGCAUUGAAGUGCAAACAAAUGCACCAAAGUGCAAACCCGUACAAGCGCACAUUAAAACCCUAUUGGCAUACUAAUCGUAUCCUAAUCAUUUACUAUGUUCAAUGGGGCAUUAAGAAUGGGGCAUUAUACUUAAAAUCGCAAUACCAAUAAAUCCAUCAUUUAGAGGCACUUCUUAUUUCCGUACACAUAAUAACAAUAAUUACCAUCAUCAAACAUUCAUUUUAUAUUUGUACUUAAUUACAAAUUUUAAUAAUAUAUAAGUAACUAAUGAAAUUUCCCAUAUAUACCAUUAACUAGAAAAAAAUAAUAUAAUCAUAAAGAGAUACACAUAUACAUAUUAUUACAUUAUGAACUUACCUGCAAUCCACUUCCAAAUAAUAUACAGGGACUACUCCGCAAUUUUUCUCUUUCCUCGAUUAUUGUCUUUUUGACUCGGUUCUUGAUCUAUAUAAUAAUUAAAUUUAAUUUAUUAAAUUUACAUAAUUUAAAAAUCAAUUCAAUGCAUGACACCCUUAUGUUUUCAUUAUUUUCACAUUUUCCUUAAACUUUUACAUUUCUCACAAUUUAGUCCCUAAACCCGAAAUUCCAAAAUUUAACAAAAUUUUACAAUUUUCCAUGCUAGCCGAACUUCUUUCUAAACUAGUACAAUCCCCAAUUAUUUACAAUUCACAAAAUUUCUAUGCAAAUUUUAAUUAUUUACACAUUGAUCAUUAAACUCAAAAUUAACACAAAUUCUUUUACAAAAAUAUCCUAAUCAACAUUCAAAUAUAUACAACUACCAUUAAAAAUCAUGAACACCAAAAUUCCAUUACUAACCAAUCCCUAAAACUUCAACAUUUUUAUAAUUUCAUCCUCAGGUUUAAUAGUUUAAGCUACAACGAGUUCAAAAAAUAUAAAAAUUAUUAAAUAUGUGAGAGAGAAACACUUACAUGCACCAAUUUGCUAACCGAAACUUUAAGCUCAAAAAAUGGAGUUUCUUUUUUUCUUUUUCUUUUUUGGUAGGAGAGAGUUGAGAAGAUGAUGAUACCAUAUUUUAUCUUUUGUUUCUUUUCUUUAAUUAAACUAAUUACCAAAUUAACCUUUUAAUCUGAACUAAAUUAUUAACAUAACAUGACCAUAAUUUUCCAUUAACUAACCAUAAGGUUUAUCUAUCAAUCAAGUCCAUUAUUUUAGUUUUUCUUUAAAAAUCAAGCACAUUUAACUAAUAAAAGCUACUUUAGCAUAUUUUACAAUUUAGUCUUUUUUACUAAAUUAACUAACUAGACAUUAAAAUUUCUUAUCCAAAUUUUAAUACGACUCAAAUAUAACUCUAUAAACAUAAAAUAAACAUAAAAUACUAACUCACUUGUUGGAAUUAUGGUCCUGAAAUAACCAUUUUCGAUACUACUGAAAAAUGGGAUAUUACAUUCAAUCUCUAAUUUAUGCUAAUGAAUGUGAGAGAAUAAUUUUCUUUGUAUAGUAAUACUACAACUAGAAUGUGUUUCGAUCCUAUUCUUAGAAACUGAUAGUAGAAACCCAACUUUUAAUUAGAAACCUCUUGUUUUAAAGUUCAAUGGGUAAAAGCAAGUUAUCGUUAUAUGUCUGUGAUACACUAGUAAAACUCAUUAUAGAAAAAAAAAGUUUAAUGGAAACUAGUGUUAUCCAUUGCGUAUAGAGGAUGAAUUUGAAUACUAUUAAUGAAGUUCAUUGUUUAUUGUUUAAAUGUCUAAAGCAAGGGAAACAUUAAAAGAACUCUACCUAUAUAAACAUAAGAAGUGAUGCCACUUCAACAAGUAAAGGUAGGGUCUCUCUUGUAAAUGUUUAUUAUGAACAAGAUAAGCACAUGAUCAUUUUAGUGCUAAAAGUGAACAACCUCUGAUAGAAAUAUAAAUGAAUAUUAUGUGUAGUGUAUUUCAACUUCUAAUACUAGGAGUUGUGGUUCAAUCUUCGGACACCAACGACUUAUUAGAACUUUGAAAAGCAUCCGCUAAUUGAUGGUUCAUAUUGAGAGAUAUCAUCUUAUAUGCAUAAUAUUUGUUGGAGUGAAUGGCUAUAAAGUAUGGUACCAACAUUUAAACUAAGGGUGAUUGUUAGUAGUUUAUAAUGUUGGCAGUAAAAAUAUUUUAUUAUGUAGAAAAGUCUAAUAACUUAUAAUUAUUGGCCAAAUAAUUGUGUUGUAAAGAGAAUUUUUGUAUGUAAAGUUGUCUUAUAAACUUUAUGUAAAGUUGUGUUGUAAAACAACACAAUUAUAUGAAAAGGUAUCUUAUUAAAAGAUAUAUUCAUAUUAAAGGGUAUCUCAUAAAAGAUACAUCUAUUGGAUGUCUAUAUAAAAGACUUUUCUAUUAGUCAUUUAAAUUGUUUUACUUGGAGUGUUGAGGCCUUUAUUGUAUCUUGAAGGUAUUUUAAAAUCUUAAAGAAAGUGCUCUACAUGCCUCAAAGUCGUUAUAUUUUAUAACAUUAUUUUAUUUUUCUAACUUCUAUUUUCCUAUUAUUUAUUUUUCUAACAGCCAGAAUAUAGAAAAAUUAUUAUGUUUCUAACUAUAUAUUAAAUACGAGUACUACUUGGAAGCCAGCACCCACAAACAUGAUAAAAGUUAAUUUUGAUGAGAGUUUUGACGUGGAAGCAAGAAAUGAGGAAGAGGGUAGUUAUGCAGCAUUGUGAUGGUUUUUUAGUCCGACUACGCAACCAUCCAAUUUAGGGUGCGUUCUACAUUAAGGUGAAAAAGCACUUAAAAAGAACAUUUGGUUUUUACACUUAAAAGUGUGAUGGAAAAAUACUUUUUCAUUCAAAUACAAAAAUUAAGAUAUAAAUGCUUUUGACUUUUAGCUUUUACAUUAGAAUGUGAAAAUUAUCAAAUACUAUUAUUUAUAUUAACUAUUUAAAGUGUAUAUAAAAAUUAGAUUAAUUUAUAUUUUAUAUAUCAUUAUAUUAAAUUAUUUAAAUAUUAUUUAUUAUUAUAUCUUUUAAUAAUUUAUAUAUCAUCUAUUUUACAAAUAAUUUAUAUUAAUUACUUCAAAAAUAUUUGGAACUUAUAUUUCAUGUACCAUUAUAUUAAAUUAUUUAAAUAUUACAUAACUUAAAAUGUCCUUUUCUUUAGACAUGAUAGACUUUUAACGGGAAUUUUUUGUAGUAACGGAGAACACCAAAAACUAAUGAGUACAUUUUUUCAUAGCACUUUUCUACCACUUUUCAACUACAACGGUAAUGGAGAACUAAUCCUUACUAAAGUUACCGAAGCACUAGCUUCCACUGUAGCCAUUGAAAUGGGGCUCCAAUUGGGAUUGCAACACAUUAUUAUUAAAAGAGAUGCUCUCUAAGUGGUUUCGAAGUUGAAGGAAGACAAAGAAGACCUACCAACAAUCGGACCUUGAUAGCAAAGAGUUGAAUACUUGCUAAACAGGUUCAGCAAUGUAGGUUUCAACAAAGAAAGAGGCAUGCUAAUGAGGUGGCACAUCAUCUGGCCAAACAGGGUGCAAUGCCCAAUUUCUGCCCGGGCCUAAUCAAAACAGCCCAAAGCAGAAAGCCCAAUUUUUCUAGACCUAGCCCACAACUAUUUUCAGCACCACCAUGCACCCAUUUUCUCCACCACUCUUCCACUCCAGAACACCCACGAACGGUUUCCCUCCAUGCCAUACAUACCUGCAAAAUAGAUUAAUGACUCAUAGCAGUUGACAGUAGAAAGAAAUAACAACAGGAAACGGUUUUGUACUUGGCUAUAAAGCCUUUGAAUUUUUCAUUGUUUGGUUUUUUUUUCUUUCUUUUUUUUUUCAGAGAGAUUGUACACGAAAUACAUACAAAAAUCAAUAGAAAGCAAUUCAAAGGUGAUUUAUCGCUAUUUAUUGUGUUUUUUUUUUCAAUUGGGUUUACAUACAAGUAUAAAAUAUAAGAGAGAACGAGAGGCUUACCGGAGUUAUAUCGCAUUCACGCCGUCGGUAGGACUAGCUCCGUUGGUCACGAACAGAUUUUGGGAGUGGUUGGGGGCUUGAAAGGAGCCUUUCGGCUGGAGAAUAAAGGGAGAGUGAGGGAGAUGAUAUAAUAUCCAAGGCAUUUAGGGUUUUUUUUUUUAAAUAAAAGUUAAAAAGUUUUCUUUUAAGCACAAUUUUUAAAGCGGGUUUUAGGUGAUAAGAAUGAAACAGCAUGGGGAAGGGAAAGGAAUAGCGUGUUUAACUUGGUCCACGUGCAUUUACCCCUUAAAUGGGUAAUUUUCGUUAUCAGUCCUCCUUACUUGCGUCACCCUUUAUUUGAUCCUAUUCUGUUUCUUUUAUUUUUGCCUUGAAUUUUGCGCACCGUUCCAAUUUAGUCCGAGCAUGAGUGUUGCUUUUUUGGGGUUGGGAACAUUUUCAAUUUUAGCCCUUAUACAUUCACGCGCAUUGCGCUUUGGUCCCUAUUUCAAUUUCAAUGGUUUUUUUAUUUGUUAAUUGUCCCUUUAAUUUUGCUUUUCUUCCAAUUAAGUUUUUAUUUAUUUUUUCCAUAAAAUAAGAAUAUAUUAUUUUAACAUAUAGUUUUGUUCAACAAAAUUCAUAUAUAUUUUUGUAUAUAUUAUUUUAACAAAAUAAGAAUAUAUUGUUUUCUUCAUAUGCAUAUUUAUUUGUUUUUUCUUCCAAAAUAAUUUCAUAUAUCAUUUUGUAUUUAUAUACUUUACUUAUAUUAAGUUUGCUUUAUAUCAUGUAUAUACGUAACUUAUACUAAGUUAUCUUUACUCUAAGUGUACAUUAUUGACUUCCUUUUAUUUUAUGUAAAUAUUUCCUUUUAUUUUAUUUUUUUAUGUAUAUUAUUGAUUUUAUGUUAUUUUAUGCUUGUUUAUUUUCUUCUAAGGACCCUAUUUUAAAUGGUAUAUUUUAUUUAUUUUCGUAUGCUAGUACCUUUGUUUUUUUUAUGUAUAAAUUUUCAUUUCAAGUAUUAUUUAUUUAGAUUGACAAAUACUAUGCUAUGUAUUACUUUUUUUAUAUAUAUACAUUAUGUGUCUUGAAAUAUCGUUUAUAUAUUAUUAUGUCGUACAUUAUUUUUAUUUUUAUUAUUUUUUGACCUAUUCCAGACUGUCAUAUAUGUUACCUUAAGAUUUUUAUACAUUUGUUUGAUUGCAUACUAACGAUUCCAAAUUGCAUUUCUUCUAUAUUAUCUAUAUUAUUUGUUAAAACUUGCCACAUACUUUUAUCUCAUGUACAAAACUAAGCUUGUACACAUGUUAUUGCAUCAUGAUCUUUAAAUUCCAACUCUUUGCCCAACAUCAAUCGUUUUUUAUCCCCAAGCAAACCAAACAAGUAUUUUUAAUUCGGUUUUUAUAACUGUUAAUUUAAAAAUUUCCCAAAACAAAGGCAAUGUUUGAUGUUUGAAAUUUUGGAAAUCGUGCCCUAACGUACUGGGUUUCGAUUUUUCGUUUAUCCAAAAUAAUCAAGUAUCCCCUUUAAAGUUUCGUAUGUGUUUUCUAAACUUCAAAACAAGGCAAUGUUCUAUGUUUUGGAAAUCCGAGAAAUCGUGCCCUAACGUGUUGGAUUUCAAUUUUUCGUUGGACCAAAUGAUCGAGUAUCCUUUUGAAAUUUCAAAUAUAUGAGCUUUUGGAAAUUAAGACUCGGUUGUGGUUUCGAGGGUUUAGAAAGUUAUGUCUUAACGUGCUGGAUGUGAUAUUUUAUUCCUUCAUAACAAAAGAAUUCUUAAUGACCAAUUUGAGUUAUUCAAAUAUUUUAAAAGAAAUAGUAUUUCAAAAUAUCUUUUAAAUUUUAGACAUAAGGACAUUGAUUAAUCAAUUAGGUACCAAUUUUGGGCGUCACGAGGGUGCUAGCCCUUCCUCGUGCGUAACCGACUCCCGAACCCUUUUUUCUCGACUUACGUAGACCUGAAAUUAUUGUUUUAAUAAAUCAAAAUGUUUUAUUAAAAUGAUCAAUUUCAAGGUGAUCCGAUCCCACCUCAGAAGGGAUCGGUGGCGACUCCAAACUUUGAUUUUUCAAAGUCGAUCCCCGUUUUUUUCAAACUUUUAGAAAAUGGUUUCGACACAAGGCCUUAAUUGUUUUCCAUCUUUUGUUCAUAUGUUUGUUUUGAAAAGGUAAAACAAAUCCUCACCUAUUGAUGUUAGAACGGUUGAAUUGCUAAAAGCAUGCUGCGUGCAUAACCAUGCUUUAGGUUAGGCUUCAAAUCAAAUAAAUUUUAAAUUAUUUUUAUUUGAAUUUAAUUAUAAAAAUAUAUUAAUAUCAAUAUAAAAUUAUAUACAAUUUUAAGAUAUUUUAUUUUUCAAUAAUAAAACGAAUCAUCUACCAACCCUAAUUCUUCAGUUUUCUUUUUAAUUAGAUGAUAACUCAAGCCAAGCUAACCAAUAAACACCCAAAAUCUACCAUCAUUUUCAUUUUUUUUUCUUUUGUCACAAAGUAGACAGAAGAUUCGGUUUGGAUAAGCUCUACGUUAUUAAGUCAAAAGCUGAAGUAAUUUUAAUCAUAAAUUGUUUUAUUUGUUUAUAAUGCAAAACAAUGACCCAAUUAAUACAAUAAAGCUUUAACUUUGUGGGAAUUUUCAGUCCAAAAAAAAAAAAACAAUUUGUGGAAAUUUUAGAGCAGUUGACCAUUUCUUCCGAAUUAGUUUUCUCACUUCUUGUCCAUAUUCCAUGUAUAUUAUUUCAAGAAAUUAGGUUUAGAAAAUUGCAUAAUUCAACCAUUGAACUAAUAAAUAUUAAAGAAAAAUUGGGUGGCAAAAAUAUCUUAUUAAAAGCGAAUCAUAUACUAUUAAUAGAUUUUAUGAUUAAAUUAGUUUCACGUGUUAACGGGAUAUUAACUUGAUUUAGUAAAUUAUAAAAAUGUCUUUUAAUGUUUAAAAUAAAUUAUAUUAUUUGAAGAUAUUUUAAUUUUUUUAUUAAAAAAGGAUGAUGUCUCAAAUUAACUCACAAUCUAAUUUAAUUUUUUAUUUUAAUAUCGUAAAUGUUUCAUGUUUUAUUAUUAAUUUGUUUCAAAUUAUACAUUUCAUUAUUUAUUUUAUGUUAUUUUUAAACAUAUUUGUGUUCUAAAUACCAAAUUUUCACUUAAGGGUAUCAGAGACGAAUCUAGAGAGGCUAGUAGGGGCCCCGGUCUCCUUAAAAUGAAAAUUAUUAUUUAAGCCCUUUAGAAAAUUUUAAAAUUUUAAAUUAGUAAAUGUAAAAUUGCACUUUGACCCCCUAAAAUUAUAAAAAUUUAAUUUAAUCUUUUAAAAAUUAUAAAGAUAUAAACUAGUAAAAAUUAAAAUUUCAUUUCGAUCCUCCCUAAAACAUAUUUUUGGCUUCACCUAAAGGGUAUGACUAGUAUGAAUAAUUUUCUUUGGAAGUCUUAAACAAACAGGAGUUAAGUAAAAAGGAGUUUUCAUACAUACAUAUUCGGCGUUGAUGUUUCCCUUUCGAAAAUUUAAAUUAAGACAUAGGAAAAGAAACUAAAAUUGAGCUUAAUUUAUGCAGUUGGGUUCAAAAUUUAAUAUUUAAAUAUAAAAAUUCUAAUAAUUCGAUCUGGUCCGUUUCAUCUAGCAGACUAAUAAUAAAUCUUAAAACAUAUUAUAUUUUAAUUUUAAUAAAACCAAAACUGAUACAUUUGACCUACAUCUACAUGUGAUCUAUGCUUAAUUAAAUUAGUCUAAAUUAGACGAGAUCUUGAUUAGGAGUCAUUUAUUUAUAUUAUAAGUCCCUGAAACAUGCAAAACUUACAUUUAAAAAUUAAUAUUUUUACGUUGUUGUUAGAAUAUAGGGUUUGUUAAUGUUUUCGUGUGAAGUCAGCUGUUGACAUUACCAACCAGAUAAUGAAAAGGGAACAUGGCAAUUAUUCCAUCCUAAUUGUCACACACACACACACACCUAAUUAAGUUAAUCCAAAAAUUACCUAACGUUUAGCAUUUCAAUGGUAGAGUCAGCUCUUUCUUCUAGUCUAUCAAAAAAAAAAAAUCAAUUUAACCCCUAACUCUUGGAUGGAAAAGUUUUUGCUAUGAACUUGUUGAAGUGAAUCUAAUGUGAUAUAAACACAUCACAAUCCAUGUGUGUAAUUAAAAAUAAUAGAGAGAGAUUGAAUAAUUUAAAGGGAAAAAAAAAGAAUUUACUCCCUCCACUAACAGGUAACUCUUGCAGCUUGAAUCUACAACGUAUGUAUGAAAGUGAACACCUUUAAUUAAUGAAUAAAUACUAAAGUUCUAGGUUUAGAAUUAAUUAAAUAUCAAUACAAAAAGUUAAUUACUUUUUGAAAUAAGGAUAAAUCGGUUUUUGAGGUUUGAUAAUUUUUCACAUAUCGAGGUUUGAAUUUUUUUAUCUUAAGUUCUAAACUUGACAAUAGUUCUCAAGAUGUGAAGGUUUUUUUUUUAUCCAAAUUAGGCUAUGAACUUAGAUAGAAAUCUUAAAAUUCAACCCUAAUGUAGGUAUAAUUGUCAAGUUAAAAAAAAUUCAAAUCUUAAUAGAAGAAUAAUCUACUAAUUGGUAACCCUAAUAUAAAAACAAUUGUUAAGUUGAAAACUUAAUUUUUUUUAAAAAUUCAAACCCUUAUUAACUUUAGGAUUUAACCCUUUGAAAUAUUGCGUUAAUUAAUAAGUGUAAGAAUUAUUUUGUGUUAAUGAUUAAAUAAAUAUUUAAGUGGAGAUCAAGUUUUACCUCAUUUGUCAAUUGUCAGGUGAAGAAUAUAUACCCUAAAGGCCUAUCAAAAACGGACCUAUCUCUAUAUAUCUUUACUAAUUUACUAUUCAUUUUUAAUGAAAAGCAAUAAAUUAAUGAAAACGCUAUAAAACGAAAACUACAUGAAUAAAUUAUAUGUGUAAAAUUGAAAUAUUUCGUGACGACAUUAUUGAAAAAAAUAAUCAUUAACCUUAAAUAUAAACAAUUAUGACAUUUCUAUAAAAUAUCAUUUAAUAUAUUGCAUCAAAGUUUUAAAAAAUGUUAUGUGUAUACUUUUACCUCGUAUAAAAAAGUCUUUCAUUUCUCAAUUCUUAUGGCAUAGUAAAUUUAUUAUUAAUUUUUAAAAAAAAUGGUUAUUAUUUGUGUAUUAAAUAAUUAUUGGGAUAAAUUUUAAAGUUGUACAUGGAUUUUGGUUACAUGUUAAUUAUAAACAUUAACUUUGAUUUUAUAUAAUUUUAUAUAUGAAAUUUUAAUUUGAUCCAAUUCUCAUAAAUUAUUAACAUAAUUAUUGAUAUAAUAUCAUUUUAUGUUUAUAUGCUAUAUACAGAAAUAAUUAUAUUUAUUCAAUAUAAAAAUUAAUUGAUGUAUUUAUUUCUUUAAACGUAUAUGAUUGAAUCAAAAUUAAAACAUCAUGUAUACAUUUGAACCAUAACUAAAAUUUUACAUAUAUAAUUAUACAAAAUUACAAUUCAUAUACGUAAUAAACUAAAAUUCAAUUUUUUUAUAAAAUUAACCUAAAAAAUUUAAUUAAUUACAUAAAUGACCCUUUUUUUUAUUAAACACGUAAAUGACCUAAAAUCUACCGUGAAAAUUGGUGGAAGCAAAGAGUUUGGCACCACCAACAUGCCACGUCAGCAACCAAGAUAAAAAAAAUCAACUUUUUGGUAGAGCCAUGCAUAAUAGUGCUACUUGUAUAAAUAUCAGGAAAAUACUAUAAUUUCUAAAAAAUAAGGGACUUUAAUAAAAAAAAAUUCUAUUUUCUGGUGGAGCCAAAUAAAUUGGCGCCACCAGUUUCCAAUGUGAUUUUUUUUAAAGUUUUCUAAAAUUUUAAAUAUAUUAAAAAAUGUUAAGUAUAAUUAAUUUUAAAAGUUUAAUAUAUUUAAAAAUUUAAUAUACUUAAUAUAUAUUUUUAAUAGGUAAAGAAAAAAAUGAUUUUUUAAUAUAUUUAAAAUUUUAAAAAACUUAAAAAAUUUAAAUACUUUAAAAAAUAUUAAGUAUAACUAAUUUUAAAAUUUUAAUAUAUUUAAUAUAUUUUUAAAAUAUUUUUAAAAUUUUUAAUAUAUUUAAAUUUUUUAAAGUUUUUUAAAAUUUUAAAUAUAUUAAAAAAAAUUUCCUCAUUACCUAUUAAAAAUAUAUUAAAUAUAUUAAAAUUUUAACAUAUAUUUUUAAAAUAUAUAUUAAAUAUAUUAAAAUUUUAAAAUUAGUUAUACUUAACAUUUUUUUAAUAUAUUUAAUUUUUUACUAUUUUUUAAAAAUUUUAAAUAUAUUAAGAAAAUAUUUUUUAUAUUUACCUAUUAAAAAUAUAUUUUAAGUAUAUUAAAUUUUUAAAUAUAUUAAACUUUUAAAAAUAAUUAUACUUAACAUUUUUUAAUAUAUUUAAAAUUUUAGAAAACUUUAAAAAAAAUUACAUUUGAAACUGAUUGGCUCCACCAGAAAAUAGAAAAUUUUUAUUAAAGUCCCCCCAUUUUUUAGAAAUUAUAAUAUUUUUUUGAUAUUUAUACAAGUGGCGCCAUUCUACAUGGCUCUAUCAAAAAGUUGAUUUUUUUUAUCCUGGUUGCUGACGUGGCAUAUUGGUGGAGCUAAACUCUUUACCUCCACCAAUUUUCACAGAAAAUUUUAAGUUAUUUAUGUGUUUAAUCAAAAAAAUAGAUCAUUUAUAUAAUUAAUUAAAUUUUUUAAAUUAAUUUUAUAAAAAAAACCCUAAAAUUCAUAUAUAUAACUGUAAGAUUUAUGUCCACAAUUAUCUAAAGCUAAUCGGUGAUAAUUACUAUGGAAAUUCAAUGUACUUAACUAAUUGAUUGAUAGGAACAAGCAUGAUGAAAUCCAUGAUUGGGAAGAGAGAGAAUUCAAAAACUGAACGCCCCAUUAAUCCAUGCGAAUAAACUUUUUCGGUAUACAUCAUAAUUCAUUUAAUUUUAUCAUUAUCUCUAUGCUAUAAUUAUGUUUAAACUAAAAUACUUGAGACAUUAAUAGUUUGUGUUAUAUAAAUUAUGAUAUCCAUAUAUCCAUAUUAUAUAUAUAUUUUUAUAUUAUGAAUGCAUUUAAAAAAAAAUUAUGAAAAAUGUAGAGUCCGCAAAUAAAAAAUGGCUUACAAAUUAACAGAAAACCAAUUUUAUUUCUUGUAAAUUGAUUUACCAUAUUAAAAAGUGUAAAUCUUUUUUUAAAUUUAUUUACGAGUAAUUUUAUUUUUAUAAAAAUUAAUUUUAGCCAAGCCUAAUAUUAUUUUAUUAAUAAUAUUAUUUUUAUUUUUAUUUUUAAACAAUUUAAAAUUAUUAAUAUCAAAUAUUAUAAUGUUGAAUCCUAGUAACAUACAUAUUAAAUUAUUUAUAUUAUGUUAUAUUACAAUUUUAUUUUAAUAAUAAAUUUUAACAACAAUAAUUUUAAAUUUUAAAUCGUAUUUUUAAUAUAUUAUUGAAAAAUAUUUAUAUUAAUAUUUUAAUAAUAAAUAUAUAUUAAAAUUUAUAAAUAUUUAAUAAUAAAUUUUUUAUAGUAUAAAAUAUGAAUAUUUUAAUUAUAUAGAUAUGAGUAUUUGUUUAAAUCAUGCUUAAGUUCAUUUAUCUCCCAACUCUAAUGUGUCAUUAUACACUGUCAUAUAUAUAAUAUAUGUAAUUUAAGCAUUAUUUAUUAUUAAAUUUAUAUAUGAUAUUAAUUAUAAUAAAAUAUUAUCUUAUUAUAAAAGAAAUUCCAAUUGUCAAAAAGAAAUGUUACUCUAAUAUUUUGUAAUAAGUAUAUUUAUAUUGUAUUUGUUUCACUAAUAACAAAUUUAAAAUGAUUUUAGAAAAAAAUAUCAAAAAAUAAAAAAUAUUUUAAUCAAAAUAAUUCAAAUAAAAAAAACUAAACUUUUCCAUGAAAUCAAUCCAAUUUUAAGAAAACAUUAAAAUUGUUUUAGGUGAAACAAAAGGAACCUAUAUUUUAUAUAGUAUUUGAAAAGUUGUUGUAUCUAGAAUUAUUAUCUUUAAUUUUUUUUAGGUCUAUUUCUAAUUUUCAAAAAUUGAGAAGUUAAUUUCUCUAUUUUACUUUAUCAGUCCGUGCUUAUUUUUUAUUAAUUUGUUGUGUAUAAAUGGUUAAACUAUUGAUUUUUGUUAAUUACUAGCAUGUAAAUUGUUAAACUACUUGUUCCCAAGUCAACAGUAAAGCUUAAUAGUAUUAUCAAUUUGGAAUAAUUUCUGAGAUUUUUCUUUUAUUUUGCGUGAUUAAGAUAUUUUUCAUGUACGGUUUAAGGUUUAUGAAGACUAAUCCUUUCGAGUUUAUAACUACCCUUUUUAAUAAUGUCGUCUUUAAAAUUCGAGUUCUCUUUCUUGUAAGUACAAUAUGCCUUACAUUUAUAACUAAUACUUCUUAUUUUUGUAAAAUAUAAGAAUCAAAUUAUGUAGUAAGAUUAAUUUCUAGAUUUUUUAAAUUUAAAAUUUAACAUUUAAAAUAUUAUCAAUCACAUCACACACAAAACCAAAGAGCAAGAGAAUCUAAAAAACACGUGGACCAUUAAUUUAGGAAUGGACAGAAACUCAUGCAAAAUGGUUGGAAAACACGUACAGGAUUAUAUAUACUAAUCAUUUUUAUUAUUAAGCAGAAUUGGAAAUAAAUAAAUACGGGCGAAACCACUGAAUAAUACAGCAUUGAAAUGCAAUUUGUCUACAUCAUUAUUGUUCUUCACUUCAAACGCGGAGACUAGUCUAGGGUCCCAAUCUUUUGCUUUAUCUCUCUAGAUAUAUCCUUUUCAAACUAUCUUUUUGUAGCUUUAUUUGCAUCACAGCAUUAUCUUUUCCUGCAAACAACUGUUUAAAGAUUAAAACAUGCAAAACAUUCUGAAAUAAUGCACCCUGACCAGAUGACAAAAAAAAAAGAGGAUUCUAAUGUAUCUUACCUUGGAUUGGAGCACGGUCAAAGCCGUGGCUUAGUAGUGGUGAGGAGGAGGGGGUGAAGCGUAGACAUAAUGGGGUGGGGGUGGAGGAGGAGACUUGUAUUUGUAAACUGGAGGAGGAGGUGGUGGAGACUUGUACUUGUAAGGGUGCUUGGGGGGUGAUGGUGGGGGUGGUGGGGGUGACUUGUACUUGUAGGGGUGCUUGGGUGGUGACGGUGGGGGUGGGGACUUGUACUUGUAAGGGUGCUUGGGGGGUGAUGGUGGUGGUGGUGGAGGUGACUUGUACUUGUAGGGGUGCUUGGGUGGUGACGGUGGUGGUGGUGGGGGGGACUUGUACUUGUAGGGAUGCUUUGGUGGGGAUGGUGGUGGUGGUGGUGGGGACUUGUACUUGUAGGGAUGCUUAGGUGGGGAUGGUGGUGGUGGUGGAGACUUGUAUUUGUAAGGAUGCUUUGGUGGUGAUGUUGGUGGAGGUGGUGGGGACUUGUACUUGUAAGGGUGCUUGGGUGGUGAUGGAGGUGGAGGUGGUGGAGACUUAUACUUGUAAACUGGAGGUGGUGGGGGUGGAGACUUGUACUUGUAGGGGUGCUUGGGUGAUGAUGGAGGUGGAGGUGGUGGAGACUUAUACUUGUAAACUGGAGGUGGUGGGGGUGGAGACUUGUACUUGUAAGGGUGCUUGGGUGGUGAUGGUGGGGGUGGGGACUUGUACUUGUAGGGGUGUUUAGGUGGUGAUGGUGGUGGUGGUGGUGGGGACUUGUACUUGUAAGGAUGCUUGGGUGGUGAUGGUGGUGGAGGUGGAGGAGACUUGUACUUGUAAGGAUGCUUGGGUGGUGAUGGUGGUGGAGGUGGUGGAGACUUAUACUUGUAAACAGGAGUUGGUGGGGGAGGAGAUUUGUACUUGUAAGGUUUCUUGUGUGGUGGUGGUGGAGGAGAGUAGACCGGAGGAGGCGGUGGGGGAGACUUGUAAUGGUAGGGUGGUGGUGGGUAUUUCUUAGGAGGUGGUGGAGGAGAAGAAUAAGUGUAAUCUGCAGAG